rnacentral:lncRNA from 1 species
AGUGGUGGUGGUUGGUGGUUGGUGGUAAGGUGGUGGUGGCAGAGGUGGUUAAUGGUGGUGACUGAUGAUUAUGGAUAGAGUGGUGGUAAAUAUUAUCUAACACAAGGAUACCUCUUAAUAAUUAAGAUUUAGUACCAGAUCCGAAUAAUAAAGAACUAUUAAGACCCAUUAAAAGUCAAAAUCUUAAUGACAAACAAAUGCACUUAAUGGUCUGAAGUCUGAAUCAUUCAAAUUCAGACCUCCAUUAAGUGCAAACAAAUAAUGUCUUAGUGAGGAGAGAAGCCCUUUUAGUAUAGAUGUUGCAUAGCUAGUCAGUGGAUAGGUUUGUACCUCAGGUUCAAAGAUUUUUAUGGCCUCUAAGGCACAUUGAUCAAAACUGGAAAUGGAUUAGACAAAACCCAAACAUAAGAGACUAUAUUACACAAUAGCCCUUACCUUUUAAAAAUUUACAUUAAAUCUCGAUUUUCAACUUUUCUCUUGAUACAUAUCAAGAAAACCCCACAUCCUAUUUUUACUCCAUCAUUAACUCAUGCAAGAUAUUUUUUCCAAAGAUUUCCUUCCCUAAAAUCUCUCCCAAAUUAUAAUCAAGUAAAACAUCUUCCAUCUCCAAACUAUUUUUUUUUCCAAAGUUUUGCUUUCCUAAACUAUCUCCCAAAUUAUAAUAUUAACAUACUACCACCACCAAACAAGCCAAGUCAUACUUCUUCUCCCCUCAAAUUUAACAGGGUAACUUACAUGCUCUCUGUCAUUAUCAUCGGCUUCUCACUUAAAUUCAACUUGCACAAAAUAGCUAUAUAGUUUAAUUCUUUACCUUUCUAUAGUAAAGUUAUUAUGUACAAUAAUUAAUAUCUAUCAGUAUUAGUAUUCAACUCCUCAUGACUCAAUAAUCAAAUUUUGAUCCUACAAAAUCUCUUUUAUAAUAUUACCAGCUCGACUCGGAUCAAGACUCCUUACAACUCUUCCAAAUAAUAAUCAUUAGUUAAAACAUCUUCCAUCUCCAUUACUACAUCUUCUUCAAAUCGUCAAUGUACUACAUUAAAUUAUAAAAUUUUGAGUUAUUUUAAAAAGGUUAGUUAAUUGUUUAAAUGAAUUUUAAGUUAAUCACUUGAUACAUAUAUAAAAAUAUUAAUUUUCUGGAUACAUUUUCAUAGUGUAACGGUGAUACAUAUGAAUGAUACUUUUGUUAUCAAUAUAUGGGUGAUACAUUUGUUGAAAUUGUAUAAGUGAUACAAAUUGAUGUUAGAUUAUUGGUGAUACAUUUUACUGACAAUAUAUGAGUGAGGCAUUUGCCGUCAGAUUAUUGGUGAUACAUAUGUCCUAAAUGUUUCUAUAUCUAUUAUAUUUUUUGAUUCAUUUAUAAAUGGGUAAUACAUUUAACAUAUGAAUAAAUGAAUCAUCUUUUAAAUUGUGUUUUUCUCAGCAUAUUUAUUUCAACUAUAAAAAUAUAUUAUUAGUAUAACAGAUAACCUCUUAGAACUAAUGCAGAAAAUAUUAAUAUGAAUCACAGAACUAUCAUAAAUAUUUAAUAUGAAUCAUAUAAAUUUCAAACUCACACACUUCAAAUAUAAAUUAGAAAUUUCAAACUUCAACUUAUAUGUCAAGUAUGCUAAAUGUAUCAUAUAUAUUGAAUGUCUAAUUUUGAAAAAAAAAAAUAGAAAUACAACCAAAUUAUCACACAUAUUUCUCCUCCGCCAAAUAAUAAUUCAGAUUUCAGAUUAUCACGUAUUUAAAUAAUAAUUCUUCUUCCGCUCCUUCUCUUCUUGAUUCACUUCCGUCGACGACGUCGUACUAGUCUUCACAUGAGCAGAGAACUAUGCAUAAACCCCCACAUUAUUCUCUAAAUUCAAAGUCGGAAACUCCUCUAAAUCUUUCAAUUUCAAACAAACUCUAACUGUAGCACCGUCUUGUCGUUGCCGUCAAACAGAGUUCUGAUGGGGCAAUAUUGACAUCGCCGUCGGUGUCGAACAGAGUGAAGGCUACUUUCAUUAAAGAUAUUUGAUCAUUGCUCAUAUCUUUCCCCAUUGCUUCGAUGGUUUUUCUAUCUCUAGCUGUUUUUCUCAUUCACUCCUCAAAUGAAUUUGGGGUUUCAAAAUUUUGUUUAAAUUUGAAAGUUGAUUAGCGGUAUUACUGAUUUUGUAAAUCUCAUUAAUUCACUGUGUAACUGAUUGUGCGUGAUUUCCUCCACAGAAUAAAAGAGAAUCUGUUACUUCCUUAAAUAAAUAUCUAGUCAAUUCUAAAUAUAUCACUUUUUAUAUGUAUCACUUUAAAAUAGAUGUAUCACAAUUUUGAAAAAAAGGGAUACGAUGUAAUUAACUAAAUAAUUGGGAUAAAAUAUAAUAACACUUAAACACAUGUGGGAUUUUUGUAAGUUACUUUUUUUUUUAUAAAAGUGCUCUUUCUAAUUUAUCUAAAGAGAUAGUACCUCCAUUAUCAAUCAGAAACAUGUGAAAGUUUAGGGAGCCCAAGGCAUGUAUCUUUCAAUUUAAGAAACAAACUUUGCCAAGAUAAACUCUCAAUACUAAAACUACCAACAUCACAAUAAAUGUCAUUAAUGUUGUGAUACAAAUCAGUCCACCAAGAUGCCAAAACAGUCCACAAAACGUGAGAAGAACAAGCAACACAAAGGGAUACAAGAUGACAAACACAAAAACACAUGAAUUUGCAAAAUAAUAAAAGGAUAGAUAGUGAGACCAAGAUUAUUACAAGAUUAAGAACCAAGUAUAUUUCAACAUUAACCCCUAGUGAAUGUAAUAAACAAAACCACACUCUUACGGUGACCGCCAAGGUAAUCGACUCACCUCAAGAUCCACCGUUUCCAAGCAAAGAACAAUAUUGGCCUUUCCAAGCCCUAUACUAAGGAUGACUUUCCAAAGUCCUAACUAAGACUAUACUAAGGUGGUAUACUCUCAAGAGAGAGGAUUUUAAGUGUUUCAAUUUUUCAUCUUUCAUGAACUCACUAGCAAAUGAACUAAUAGAACCUAUUUAUAGUUUAACUUAUUACAUAAUAAAAUGACCACAAUACCCUUAAUGAAAAGGGGUGGUCAUGGAGUGUUACUUGGACAAGGCUAAGUGACCAAAAUGUCCUUAAUCAAGGUCCAAAACCGUGAGUCCUCAAUCUUCAAUGCUCCAAGCAAUCUUUCACAUGUGGGAUUGCUCUUUGGUGUACUCAAAUUGGGCCCUCCAUGUAGGAUCCCAUUUCCUUAAUGUGACCAAAGCUUGAUGCCUUACGUACUGAAAGCUAAGGUGGUCAUUUGAAUCGUAUCAUCCUCUCCUUCUUGAAAAGGAUUCGACCUCGUAUCCAAACCUUGCAAAACCAAAGAAAAGACACACAAAUACAAACUCCUCAUGGAAUGAGGGUUAGGGUAAUUAGGACAAAUCACCUCAACAUGCCAAGGUUGCACAUAUUUAGAAUAUAACCAAGGAUCCUUUGAACUAAAUAUUACAUAAUUAAUGAAAAAUGCACAAAGGAUUUGGCUAAAGAAUUCACCAAAAAUGAUACUUUACUUGUCAUGUAAACCAAGCAACAAUUUGGGUGCACCAUCAUCACCAAUUCUAUAUUUGGCACCGGGGUCAAACGAGAAGAGUGGCCAUAGACACAGGUCUAGACAACACUCCCCUUUCCCGUGGCCUCCACCCAAAAUAAAUGGCAUACUCUCUACAGUAACAUACAUAUUAUCCAGAGUAAAUAGAAAGUAGAGAAAGGUAUCACUCAAGUCGACUUCUACUAAGGUGCCCUCAUGUGUGUACUCACUACUAGUUUCACAAUCAUCACCAUGAGUACUCUCAACAAUAAAGUCACACAAAGUAGAAGGAGAAGUAGUUUCCCAAACCACACAUCCCUUACCCUUAAGAGUACUCUCAUCCUCCAAGAAGAGAUUUCCAUCUUUAGGAGGAAUGUUGUCACACCAUAGUGGGUUAGCAUAUCGGCUAUAGCUUCUAAGGCAAGCUAUACCAUCAUUUCCACCGCUAGGUUCAUUAGGAGUGGUUAUAUCAUCUUCAAACAAGACAUUAUACCUGAAGAGAGCAUGAUCUAUUUCACGGGCAGAUUCAGAACAAACACGUUCAUCACUCUCGAAAAGAUCAAUAUCAAGUUUCAAAGAGAUUUCAAGUACAAGAUUUUCCCAAGAAUAGCUCUCGGGUUCACUCCUAUUCCUUUGAUCAAUAUUUUCAACAUCAUCACACCCUUGAGAUUCAUUAAUCACAUCACACACAUCCUCAAGUGAUGGGCAAUUUUCACACAAAAGUUGAUCAACAUAAAUUUCACAAAGCGAUGUACUUUCAUUCAACACAAUGGUUUCAACACUAGGUGGACAUAAAUCAAUCUUACAAGAAGAGUCGAUUCGGUCAUCAAUAGGAUCAACAAAUGUAUCCACACUCACAACAAAUACAUUAUCAUCAAGUAGCAAAGAAAUAAUAGACUCACAUAUAGGCAAGCUAUAACUCACACUCAAUGGGCUACUAGCCACACAAUUAUCAUUCACAUGCACAAAAGUGUAAGGGUUAGCUAUUUUACCUUGACGUUCAUAAGUAUGUUCGUCUUUACCUCGGUGUGAAAGUCAAUCACAAGAUUGGGCAGAAAGUUUCUUCAGAAAGCUCUUAUCGCAACUUGUUUGGACAAUUGGAUUUUGAGGGAAGAGUUUGGGUAACAAUUGGCGUAUAAUUUUAAUGUGCUGUUGCAUUCUUCAAGAUCGUCAUGGAUGAGAUCACAAGUGGCCUUAAAAUUAUGUGCAGCCAUGGUACCUAACAAAAAAAAGAAAAAAAAUAACAAACAAAAGAAAACAAAAAGAUUAGUAGUAAAAGCUCCUUACCAUCACUCGAUACACUCACCUUUGUGAAUCUCACAAUCGGAGCGGCGAAUAUUAAAAGUUGCUUAUACUCCGGCAAUCAAUAAGAUGUCAAUCCUACUUGGCGGCCGGAAUGGAUUAUUGUUUUGAUUGACUCAAGACACAAAACAAAAUUUAUUUAAGAACUUGAAACAAAGAAGUUACUACGAGUCACAAACGAGAAAAGCACACAAAUAACGAAGACACGAAAUAAACAUAUUCAAAAAGUAAUUAACAACCUAGUAGGUGAUUACUAGUUUGUUUAUUAGUACUAGGAUCAAGAAAAUUGAAACUAAAGAAACAAGAAAUGAAACUUAGAAAUCUGAAAUUUUGAGCCUAAGUGUCAUUUUUUAGGGUGAUGACCUGGCAACCUCCUAUUGGACGUUAAAAUUGCUGAAAGUUUGAGAAAUUUUCUUGUCUUCAAAUUGUAUUGGUCAAAUUCCAAGUGGGGAAUGGUGGAAUUUCGAAAAUGGAAGGGUAACAACAAGACUUUGAAGCCCUUUUUUCAAGUUCAAAAAAUGUUUGACUUUUUUGCACCUUUUUGGAUAAACACCUUUUUAAAAGACUUUUGGCUCUUCCCUUUUUGUAAGUCUUGUUGCACCUUUUUGGCUAAACACCUUUUUGAAUGACUUUUGGCUCUUUCCCCUUUUGUAAGUCUUGGUAGGUGGACUUUCUCCCUUUUGGCAAGACAACUUUUGAAACUCUUUUGUUCCCUUUGGAUAUCUUAUAGUUGUAUCUUUUAAGACUAACAACAAAACACACUCUCUUUCUUCAAUUUCUUAGAUCAAACAAUCAUUUUCUCUUCAACAAAAUAUGAAGAUGGUGAAGAACACCAAGAACACAACUUUUGAAUCUUGGAGUUCUAUGGUUCAAGCUGGAUCCCACACAUUAACAACACAAUUUUCAAGCUCCAACCCUUAACAACGACAUAAAAAAAACGUUUUUAAGCAACAACCUCAACAACACUCUUUAAAGCCANNNNNNNNNNNNNNNNNNNNNNNNNNNNNNNNNNNNNNNUUCAAAACCAACUUGGAAAUGACUCAAAAUUUAGAUCUAAACUCUAUAAAUGUUAGUGAAGAAGGGACUAACACUAGAAACAACAAAACACACUAAAAUAUCCUAAAUCUAAGUUUCAAAUUCAAAUACAAAAACGGGACAGAUUUCUUUUUUUGAGAUUUUCAGAAUUCAACACUUUUUUUUAAUUUUUCAACUGACAAGCCCAAGAUUGAUUUUGUUGGAACAAAAUCAAUCCUUGCUCUGAUACCAAAUGAUACAAAUCAGUCGACCAAGGUGCCAAAAUAGUCCACAAAACGUGAGAAGAACAAGCAACACAAAGGGAUACAAGGUGACAAACACAAAAACACACGGAUUUGCAAAAUAAUAAAAGGAUAGAUAAUGAGACCAAGAUUAAUACAAGAUUAAGAACCAAGUAUAUUUCAACAUUAACCCCUAAUGAAUGUAAUAAUCAAAACCACACUCUUACGGUGACCGCCAAGGUAAUCAACUCACCUCAAGAUCCACCGUUUCCAAGAAAAGAACAAUAUUGUCCUUUCCGAGCCCUAUACUAAGGAUGACUUUUUCAAGUCCUAACUAAGACUAUACUAAGGUGGUAUACUCUCAAGAGAGGAUUUCAAGUGUUAUAUUUUUUUAUUUUAUGUAAUAAAACAGUCACCAAUUUGGAUUAAUUAGGGUAUGUGAUGACUAUUAAAAAAGAGGUGAACAGUCGUGACUUUUUAUCUAACAUAUUUAAACAUCUAAUGAAUCAAAUUAUCCAUCUGUUACAACUGACGAAUCAGCUGUUAGAAAAAAUCAAAACAUCUCCUCUAACAGAUGGUCCAUCUGUCGCAACAGAUAAUCCAUAUAUUGCAACAUAUGUCUCAUCUGUUGCACAUACAAACCAUCUGUUGCAACAGAUGGUGAAUCUGUUGCGACAAUGGGUUAUCUAUUGUGAUAGAUGGAUGAUCUGUUGCAAUAUCUCAAUAAUAGCGAUUGUUAUUUAUUGGUAUUCUAUCUAUUUCUUCUUCUCAACAAACAUGUUAACGGUUGGAUGUAAGAAGCAAUUUUAAAUCAGUAGCUAUAGAAAGAGUUUUGAAUUCUUUCAACAGAUAGACCAUCUGUUGAAAUAGAUUGGUCAUCGAUUGGGUUUUUAUCAGCAGAUUAUUCAUCUGUUGCAAAAAAUUUGUUAUCUGUUGGAGCAAAAAAUUCCAGUUUGAUAAAUUGUAUUGUGUUCUUUCAGCUAAUGUCUAUCUAUUGCAACAGAUGAGCAAUUUGUUGAAAAUAAUUUUGUGGUUUGUUGUAUUUAGUUCCUGUUUUGCCUCAUUUUAUUGAUGCACAAGUUAUUAAAAAAGAUAUUUUAUAUAAUAAAUGAUAAUAUUUACGUUCAUAACAAUGAUUUAAAUAUAUAAAAGUCCAUAUCAAAUAACAACACAAGUUUUUGCUUUUACAACAAUUAUGGUGGAUUAUGAUUUUGGCAUGUAGUUCUUUUGUGGCCAACGUUCUUACAUACGGAGCACUUGUUUUUUCUUGAUGGAACUGAUACUCCAACUCCACGCCUCCUCUUAUAUAGUCUUCUUUCUGAUUUAAUAGUUAUUUGGUCAAUAAAUAAAGGAGGUAUUAAUCUCUCCAAAAGCUCUUCAGGAACAACCAAAGAUUCUUCGGGAGGCACUGGAGUAAUAUGCUCACUAUAUGCCAUUAUAUAUUUUUCCACCGAAUAAUAUGGAGAGUAGUAAUCAUAAAUUUAAGUUCCAUAUUUUGCAUUGUAUUGAGCUCAAAGCACAGUCAUAGCAUGUGGAUAGGGUAUUUUUUCCAAGUCAAAAACUCUGCACGUACAAGAUCUUGUUUGAAGAUCGAUCGUGGAAACAUCACCAUAACUGUCGAUACUGAACUUGUAAUCUGUUAUUUGAUGAGAAAAUAACUUAUAUCCUAGACUGAUGUUCAUUGAUAUUAUUUUUUCCGCUUCUAGAACAUAUUUGGUUUCUGCAUUCUCGAACUUCAUACACCUUUCGUGAAAAAAAUUGCCAUACUUCUGGUUUAUUUUAUCAAACAGAGUCACGAUGAAAAAUUCUCUUUCAUCACCAAAUAAUGAAUUCACCAAUUAAGCUAUGUUUGACGUCAUAAUAUUGGACCUAUACAAAAGAAUUACUUAGUAAGACAUCUUACUAAACUUGUAACUCAAAUAAAACAUUAAAUUCAUAAGAAUGUACCUAUUUACCGGACAGAAUGACCAGCUCCAUCUCUCUAAACCGACACGUACGAGAUGUUCUACUACCUUGGGAUGCAUAUCCAUUAUUUAAUUAAAAUGGUCUAAGAACUCCUCUCUACUGUAUGCUUUAGCUGCUCUAUAAAAAAGGGUCACGACCCUUUCGUUGUGAAAAUUAUUUCGGAUGUUAUCUCCAAGAUGCUUCAUGCAACAAAGUGAGAUGAAGUAUAGAAAAUUGAACCCAUCUUUGGAAUACUUAGAUGCCUAUCCAAAAUAAAACACAACUCUUCGGUAUCUUCGAUACAGCUUCUCAUUUGUUCAAAAAAAUAUCCAUAAGAGACAUCACAUUCUUUGUUUGCUACACAAAAAGCGACAGAAAAGAUGUGAUUCUCUGCAUCUUGCGCCACCGCCACUAGAAAAACUCCACUAUACCUACUUCUCAAGAAGGUCCCGUCGAUGUAUAUGACUUUUCUUGAAUGUUGAAAACCUUGAAUGAAGCACCAUAGGAUACAAAAAAGUACUUGAACAUUCCAUUUUCAUCAAUAUGCAACGUCGUCUUACCUUCGGGAUUUAUGGACUCAAGCAUGUAAUGGUAGGCAUUAAUGACUGCAUACCCAUGUUCAUGUGUCCCCCUAACCAAGUCCUUGGCAAUUCCCAUGGUCGUAUAUAUCUUCCAAUAACUGACCAUGACACCCAAUUUCAUAAGGAGUUGAUUGUUCAUAUCCCUUGUAGAAGGACCUUUGCCAUUAGGGAAUCUAUUCUUAAAAUAUUCAGCGAGGACCUUUGCCGUGGUGUGAGAUUUUGGCCCGAAAUGUGCUUUGAACCACAUGUGUGAUUCUUUUAAUGUUUAUGAAUGAUAAAUGUAUCAGUAAUUAAAUACUUCACUGCUCUCAACUACCACUUGCAGUUCAAAUUAGCACAUCUGAAGCAAAAGACUUUGCUCGAAUUAAUCAACUUCAUUAUUCUAAAAUCUUUUUUCAAGCAAGCAAUAAACAAAGAAGUAGAAAGUUCUUUCUUAUCUUUGAAUAACAUUCCCUUGUAAAAUCCGGUCUCGUCGUUUUGAAGAUUGCCAGACUUUGUCAAUUGAGAAGAACUGCCCACCAUAUUGUUCGCAGUAAUGAGCAUUGGUGUUUGAUCAUCAUCUGAAAUAUUCAUGUCUAGAUCAUCCAACCUAUCAUCAAAGAUUCCUUGUUGUUUUUGUUGUUCUUCUUCUUCUUCUAUAUUUUGGUUCUCAUUCUCUCCCGUCUUUUCAACCACGUGGACCCUUAACACCGGCUUCGAUAAACCACUAAGAUAAGCAUGCAACCAAAACUGAUCGGUUAUCUUGAAAAGUAGUACCCUUUGAUUUUCAAAGGAGUUGUCCAUGUAGAUAAUGACGAGUUCUUCCGAUUGACAAUUUAGUCUACAAUAGUUGAUGAUUAAAUUCGCAAAAUCAUCUUAUGAAAUAUCACUUUGAAUUGUCAUAGCUUCGUCUCUAGCAUUUCACCCUUCUUCCAAUGCCAUAUAUAUCGAUUGUUCUUCUCGAUCCAUUGACUAUGACAAUCCACCCCUAUUGUUAUUGAUCCCUCAAUUAGUGGUACCUAAAUAAAGUCAUUUAUUAAAAAAAGUUAAUAAUGAUAUCAUAAUAAAAUUAAUAGUGAUUUUAUAGUGCCAUAACAUGAACCCCAACAUAUGUGUAAUUUGUUGCAAUGGGUGAAAAAUAUGUUGAAAUAGGUAAGUGAUCAAUUGCAAUAGAUUACUUACCUUUUGAGAUAUAUGUAAUGCUCCUGAAGCUGAUUUCAAAAGAUGAGUCAUCGGUUGUAACAGAUGAAUUAUAUGUUGCAACAGACUAUACAUUUGUUGUAAGAGAUGAAGUUCUUGUUGGGAUAGAUAUUACAGUACAAAAGAACCUUUGAAGCUAAUUCCAACAGAUGAGUGACAUGUUACAAUAGAUAACUAACCUGUUGCGACAGAUGACUUACCUGUUACAAUAGAUGAUGCGUCAGUUAGAAUCGAGUUCAGGUUUUGUUACAAUAAAUAACUAACCUAUUGCGACAGAUGACUUACCUGUUGCAACAGACGACGUAUAUGUUGUAAUUGAGUUUAGGUUCUGUGCCAAUAGAUAACUAAACUGUUGCAACAAAUGACUUAUAUGUUGCUACAGACGACGCGUCUGAUGGAAUCGAGUUCAGGUUUUGUUGCAACAGAUAACUAACUUAUUGUAAAAGGGCCUUAACCCUGUUGCAACAGAUAACUAGUUUGUUGCAACAGAGGUCAUAUGUUGCAACAAAUAACCAUCUAUUUGAUUCAUGUUAUGAUAAUAUAGAACCAUAAACAUGAAUCCAAUAUAUGAGUCUUUUAUUGUAACAUAUGAGUGAUCUGUUUAAACAAAUAGCUAUUAUGUUGCAUUCAGGUAUGCGUGCUAUCUAUUGUUGAAAAAACAACACAAUAGUAGUUAUCCAGAUGACAAAUUCAACUAAAAAAAUCAUAAUUUGACUUACCAAAGUCUCCUAUGAAGUAAUGCCAAAGUGGAAACUGAUGUACGAAACAAAAUUUGACCUAAGAAAUUGGUCAAGUAGCAGCAAUAGCGAUAACAACAACAACAAUGGUUAACAACAAAAAGAAGAUGAUGAUAAUGAAGAAGAAGAUGAUGAAUGAAGCACAAACAACAAUGAACAACAAAAAAUCACUAAGAGAGAAAACAACAAUGGAUAAGAAGAGAGAGAAAUGCGUCUUUUUUCUCCUCUAUUUCCUAUUAUAUUAGGUUAACAUUUGGAUCAAAGUGUAAAUUUAAAAAUUUUGGGCUAUUCUCAAACUUCACCAACUUUCUUAAUCCAUAAUAAAGUAAUUAUCACCUGCACUCAAUUAUUAAAACUUGAGUCACUUACACCUCAUUUUGAAACUCUUUUGUCACUUUUGACUAAAUGCAUCGAGAUACUAAUAUAGUACAAAAAAAAUAAGUAUUAAACAAAAAUGAGUAAUAAAUAAAGGUAAUUUAGUUAAUUUACUUUCUAAUUAACAAUUUUCUUAAGGGGUGUACAAUUUUAAAAGUGACAAAUAAAUAGAAACAGAGAGAGUAGAUGGAAGUGUAGGGUUUGUAUAGGCUAAUUAAAUCCUUUCAAUAAUAUUUUGGAUUCACACUAUCUUAUGGUUAUGUUAGAUGUUUAAGGUUAGGUUCAUGUUCACCUCCAACCUUGCAAAUUUUUGCAGCAAUAGACAUGAUAGACGUCAAGCCAAACCCCUAUACUAAUAGCUCACAACCAUUGGUGAUGACUUAAUUACUAAAAAAUGCAUUAUGGUUGACGAUCGACCCCACUUGGUGGGAAUUUAUUGAGUAUAUAAUCGUUGUAUUAUCGUUGAUCAUAAACUGAAGUGAUGGUGAGGGUUGGCCUUGCAAUAAUGCUACUUCCACACGUUCAUGCUUACCAACUCAUAAAUAGAUACAAAAUUAUAUCCAACAUUGAAAUGUAUAUAAAUUACACAACUCGGAUAAUUAUAUAAAUUAACAACUAAAACAGGUAAUCAGAAAUAAUCUCAACAUCAAACAGCUCUUAAUAUGAUAAAUGAAUAAAUGCUAUUCAAUGCAAUAGCUAAGGCAACCGGUAUACUCACACUUCUGCUUUAAGUAAUCGUAACCCAUGUGGAACUUGUUAUUUUCAAUGUUUUCGGGUACAAGAAUCUUUAUAUAUAUGCAAAAACAACUUCAACACAAGUUCAAGUCUAAAACAAGAACACUUAUGAAGUUUCUUAACACCUUUAACACAAGAUUAUGAAUAAUAUAUCCAAAAGAGUAUGUUAUAUUUUAGAAAUGAGAUGAAAUUGAAAUGUAAACCCAAGUCCCUGAAUUCACGGAGUGUCCUUAAGGAAUAAUUUCUCUCACUGUACUCGAGGUUUUGGAAUCUUCCUCCCAGGAUAAAAUGACUUUCAAUUCAACUAUAACGGUACCUUAAAUAAUUGGAUUCGUCGAACUCACUCAAUAGCUUAAUGAUCACACUUAGUUUUUUAUAUAGAAGAAGAGUUUUUUUGCUAUCAAAAAACAUGUCUAUACCUGAGGAAUAUACCAGGUAUUUAUAACAUUUAAUGUGUCCUUUCAGAAAGGAUGCAUUGAUUCAGUAGAAAGGCAUAUAUACAGUAUAGUCACAUCAUCUGCGCCCAGUCUGUGCUGGACCUGCGCCCGAACUGUGGUCGCAGGUGACACAAUCUGAAUUCUAGUGAGCAUCUGCGCUGCACUUGCGCCAGCAGGUCAUCGAAAUGCACGCGUAGAUUGCACUACAACACGAAAUAGUGUGCCUUUUACCUCGAAGGGUCACAUCCCUUCGAGAUGCAUUGCGUAUGCGUUUGCAUGGAGAAAUAAUUCUAUCAAAUUUUUGGAUUAAAAUUUCACUUGUAAAAUAAGUUUUGAAUAAAAUUUAUCUAAAGAGAUAAAUCUCAUCGAUCGAUCAUUUUCCAAAUUCAAAUCCAAAGCCGAAGCCGAGCGAGCGACGACGACGACGACGACGACGCGAGGCACCACCUUAUGCCUCACUAUCCAUAUGGAGUAAGUGUUCCUUAUUAUAAACACUUCAAAGUUCCCUUCUCCCACCAAUGUGGGAGAAUUAGUGAACUUUCCAAUAUAAGAGUACACUUUCCAAUUUGAUAACUCUCUUUUCCUCCACUAUUUUUCCUUUAUUUCUAUUCACACAUACACCUUGAAUCCAAUAAUCCCCCACAUAAAUGGGGAAUGGGUAUCUUUUAAAGAAUCUAUGGACAAGCAUGUGAUCAUUUAGCAAACACUAAUUGCAUCUGGCUAAGUAAAUUUUCCUUUGAAAUUUCCAUAGUGAACAUGCAUCGAAUGCACUCGGUCAAUUGGUAGAUUUGAUAUCUUUGAACCGUCGAGCUUUAAUGUGCACCUAGAAACACAUGUCACACAACUAGCCUUUUAUUGUUUAUUGUUCUCACGGUUUUAUUCUUUUCAACCAUGAACACGUUUCGAUUUCAUGAGAGCUUAGAGAAUAGGUCUUUACUAACAUUCUCCUUGAAGCAGCUUCACUUCGCCCUCACAUAGGUGAUUUUUAAACGUUCAAUCCUGUAGAUUAAACUAUUUGGUCAAAUUUGCCUAAUUUAGAUAAUCAUUAAAAAACCUCUCACCUUAUGUCUUAUCCUUGUUUACUAAAUAUUGUCUACAUUAUGAGAAUGGGUUGGGUAAUUGACUAUGUUGGACCUGUCAUUCACAACUUUGUUUGAUCUAUUUGAACCUAGCACGUGGGAUCUCCAGUCUUCUAGGUAGAGUUAUAGCCACGUUGACUUGACCUAGGACUUAAACCCAUUUCCUUGGAUGCCUUUUCCACUCCUUGUCUAGAUAGGCCUUUUGUAAGUGGAUUCGACACAUUAUCCUUUGACUUUACAUAGUCAAUAGUGAUAAUUUCACUAGAGAGAAGUUCUAUAACGAUAUUAUGUCUCCAUUUUAUGUGACGAGAUUUACCAUUGUAUAUCAUGCUUCUUGCCCUACCUAUUGCCGCUUGACUAUCACAGUGUAUACAUACUGGUGCCAUUGGUUUGGGCUAAUAAGGAAUAUCUUCCAAGAAAUUUCAAAGUCAUUUUGCUUCUUCACCAGCUUUAUCCAAUGUGAUAAAUUUAGAUUCCAUUGUAGAUCUAACAAUACAUGUCUUUUUGGAUGAUUUUCAAGAGACCACUCCUCCACCGAUAGUAAAUAUAUAUCCACUCGUAGAUUUUACUUCGUUCGAUCUAGUGAUCCAAUUUGCAUCACUAUAUCCUUCAAGUACUACGGGAUAUUUAUUAUAAUGCAAAGCAUAGUCUUGAGUGCAUUGAAGAUACCCCAAAAUAUUUUUCAUUGCCUUCUAAUGAAUUUUAUUGGGAUUACUCGUGUACCGACUCAAUUUACUAAUAGCGCAUGCUAUGUCUGGUCUUGUAUAAUUCAUUAUAUACAAUAAACAUCACAACACUCUUGCAUACUCCAAUUGUGUGUCACUUUUACCUUUAUUCUUUUAAAGUGUAAAGCUCACAUCCAAUAGAGUCUUGGCAAUACUGAAUUCCAUAUACUUGAAUUUGUCAAGUACAUUUUCGAUAUAAUAAGAUUGUGACAGUGCCAACCCUUGUGAAGUUCUAUGGAUUCUUAUUCCUAAGAUCACAACUGCAACUCCAAGGUCUUUUAUAUCAAACUUGCUCUGAAGCAUUCAUUUUCUUGCAUUUAUAUCAGAAAUGUCUUUACUUAUGAUCAACAUAUCAUCCACAUAUAAACAAGCAAUGACCUGGUGAUUUGAAGUGUCUUUAAUGUAAACACAUUUAUCACAUUCAUUUAUUUUGAACCCAUUUACCAACAUGGUUUGGUCAAAAUUUACAUGCCAUUGUUUAGGUGCUUGCUUUAGUUCAUACAGCGACUUAAUCAGUUUACACACUUUAUUUUUUUUCGUGGUACCACAAAACCCUCAGGCUGUUCCAUGUAAAUUUUUUCCUCCAAUUCUCCAUUUAGGAAUGCUAUUUUCACAUCCAUUUGAUGGAUUUCAAGAUGAUAUAAUUCCGCCAAGGCAAUUAACAUAUGAAUCAACUUUAUCCUUGUUACUGUCGAGUAUGUAUCAAAUUAAUCAAGGACUUCUUUCUGUUCGAAGCCUUUUACUACAAGUCUUGCCUUGUAUUUGUCAAUAGUACUAUUCACUUUCCUUCCCACGGUGCCCUGGCCAGUCCAGCUGGAGAAUUUUUUGCAGUCUAGCUCUGUAUUUUUUAGGGCAAAAAGGUUAAUUACCUUCACCCCAUAGCUCCAUAACACGGGAUCAAAUCCCCAAAUAGCACGAUUGCUCAUUGUUUUCAUAAAAUUCUCUCAAGAAUAAGCCCUAGGUUCAAUAAGUUUAAGAAUUAAAUCUCAAGAACUCAUUCCGAUCUUCAUAAAUUUAGAAAUCCAGGUAUGUGAUGUGUUCAUCCAAGGGUCCCUUCCACCCUUGGAGCUCAAGAAACCCUUUUUAAAAACAUGAAUUAUGAUUUUCAUGUUGUGGGUUAGAUUGUACACGUGUUGAUGUUGUGGUAUAAUUUCCAAGUUGAAAUCAUUAAUGAAUUUCAUGAAUUUAUGUUGGCAUGUGGGUUGAAAUCCUUGAAUUUGAAUUAAUUAAUAUAACCAUGAUGUAUUAGUUUAAUGUUCAUGCCUAAGCAUAAGGUUAUGCCUCCCAUGUGUUUGUCAAAAUGCCUAAGUGAAUAAAUUGUGCAUUGUGAUCCAUGAGUGGUCUUAAAAUGAAUCCAUGCUAGAACUACAUGUUCAAAAUUACUCCUAUGCUAGAGCUACGCCUUACAAGUGUUUGUUGGAUAUUCAUGUGAAUUUGAUAGUAUUCCAUGACAUGAUAGCAUGUAUUUCUAUCUAUGUACAAGUUCAUGACUUUUAAGUGCUUAAUGAAAUGCUCCAUUGAUUGCAUUGUGAACAGUUGAUUAUUGUUAAGUUUCCAAGAAUUAUCAUAUCUUAUUUUAUUCAUGCUAUCGAGUUCUGGGGUAUUUAAUACCCGACAAUUUAGCUGUUACCUAGAGACAGUAUUAGUUAUAGAAUAGUCUCAGUCAUGCCACGAUCAGUAGUACUCUCAGUCAGUUUCAGAACUUAGUAAAAACUCAGUAGACUCAGAAUCAUUCCAGUCUAGUUCAGCAUUCAGUUCAGUCCUCAGUAAACUCAGUUAGUCAACAAAAUUAAGUAGUGUUCUAUCAGUCAAUGAAACCUAGUAAACUCAGUUCAGCUCAGUUAAACAGUAUGAUUAGUAACAGUUCAGUCAAGCCUAGUAUGAACUAGGAGAUCAGUUUAGUGUCUAUUCAGUUAGGAGUAGGAUUCAGCACCGAGUGAAACCAAGUAUGGGGGCUACCUGCCUGUGGAGGGUUUAACCCUUAGAAGCAAUCCUUGCAUUCCAGAACUACGUAGUCAGCGUAGGUUAAAACAUCAAACCUAUCAGUUAUGGAUUGAUGAGGUAUUUUAACCUGUCAGUUGAGGGUUCCACCAUUCUCAUUAGAGUACCUGCCAGAUGAGGGUAUAUCUUCAGUUGUCCCUACCCGUGGCACGAUAUUGACACCCUUCCAACUGGAGUUACAGGUUGGACCCCAAAUUUAUUCAGAAAAGAGGUAUGUCGGUUAGAUGAUUACCUCCUACAGUCUCAGUUUUAGAUUCAGUCUCAAUAUAGAACUCAGUUCAAUUCUAUAGAUUCAGGAUUGUCAGAUAUAGUUACUCAACAUAAUUUGAAACUCAGUAUAGUUCCACAGAAUUAAGACUGUCAGAUACAGUUACUCAGUUAUCAGUAAUACAGUAUCAGUAAACUCAGAUAUCUGUUAAUCAGUAUUCAGACUCAGUAUUCAGUAUUAUCAUGCUGUCAGUUACAGUUUACGUAUUCAUGAAUGUACUCUCCUUCAGUCAUACUCAUGUUAUUCAGUCAAUAUUGUUUAUGCAUAUAAAACCAUACAUUCAACCUACCUUACUGAGCAUACCAGUAUAUUGAAAGUAAUGAUGCAUGCUUUAUUUUGCUCUAUGAUGUCUUAUAUCAUAGGUUUCAGAUGUACGAACUCCAGAGCACCCUUAGCAGUUCAGAUUCUCCACAGACAGAGUUAAUGGUGAGUCCUCAUUAUUCGAGGACAUGGUUAUUUUCAGCAUUUCAGUCAUUUUUACUAGUUGGAGUUAGUUGGGGACUUAUCUCAUCAACUCCACAGUUUAGACAGUUUAGAGGCUUUUCAGACUAGAGUAUUGUAAUACCCCGAUCGUUUCUUAAGCCUAAAUCCAUCUUUUGAGUGGAUAUGUAUGACUUCCAAAGUGAUUGAGAAGAAAAGGACAUUUUGGUCAUUUUCGCUCCUUGUGGCCUUACAUAUAUAUAUAUCUAUGUAGAGAAGAAAAGGGCAAAUUUCUAUCCAUUUCUCUCCAAUUUUCUUCCAAGAAAUAUCUAGAAACCUAGGGUUUCUUCCAAAAUCCAAAUCCUCUUCCUAGAAAUUCAAAGAAACUUCCAUGAGUUUCUCCAAGUUGUUCAAGAACUAAUUUUCUCAAGUCAAAGGCAUCAAGAAUCUUGUCCUAAAAGUGUCAGAAGAGUUCCAAACAAGUUUCUACAUCUUCAAAUCAAAAUCUAAGGUAUGUGGGGUUUGAACAAGAACACUCCUUUCAUUCUUGUGCCCAAAGAUUUACUUUUCAUUAUUGAUUUACAUGAUAUUGCAAGUGGGUUUACACCCAAAUUUCUCUAUUAAUAAUUUAUGAGAUUUGAGUUGAAUAAGUGUUAUAUUUAUGAUUAUUUUACCAUCAUGUUUCUUAAAUUGAGAAUUUAUUCCAUGAGCCGUAUAUUAUCAUUAUGUAUUGAUGAUUUCUAAGCAAUUUAAGUCAAGUUCCAUGAUUUGAAUAUUUUUAUUAUGAAUUGAUGAUUUUUGAAUGAUUUGAGACAAGUGUCAUGAGUUAUGCCCUUCCAUGAGAAAUUCGACUAUUGAAUGUAUAUUGAUAUGUGAAAUUGAGAGGCAAGAAUGAGUCUUAUGAUAUUUUCAUAAAGUUUUUGAUAUUUGAAAUGAUUUGAUAAACAAAUGUACUUGAUAUUGAGAAGGCUUAUGUUGAGUUGAGUAGAGUUAGGAAUCGACAAGAUGUUUAUGAUUUUCAGAUGAGAUAUAUAUUUAUGUUUUGGUCUUUAUAAUAGAACCAUGAGUAGAUAUUGAUUGAGGUGGAUUUCCUAACGCGUUCUAAGCUGAGUCUGGGAGGAGUAUUUAGCACCGAGCGGGAAAUUUAGUAUUUCCCCAAAACUACGUGCCACCGUAGAAUUGAUGUUGAUAAUUUUGGGCCAAAGACCGAGUAUGAGAUUAUGAAGAUGAGAUUGAGGUUGUACUCCCAGGCAAGAGUACAACGCCCCUGCCAAUGUGGGGUUCUCUCAUUAGGAGGGCAAAACGUUGGACUCCAUGCGGCUCACAUGGUGUAGUCGUGUCGGUUAUAAGAAACUCCCACGUCCAUAAUAAUUUAAGUCUCUUGAGUUAUCGAGUCACUCUAAGUCAUUAGUUAAAGAGUUUGAGUUGAGAUAAAUGAUUUACGAGAUUUAUGAAGCAUGUAUUACUACUGAUGAUUUAUGAGAAAAAUGUUUCAGAUAAUUCAAGCGAACAGAAUUAUUAUGGUCAGCAUGCAUGUUUUUCUUAUACAUUUAUGAUAUUAUUUAAAUGUUGCAUCCACCCCUGCAUACUCAGUACAUUCCCAAGUACUGACCCCCAUACUCUUUUGUAUUCUAUAUUUCAUCGUGAUAUAGGGUUCAGGUGGUCAGUCUCAGUAGCGACAGUGAUCUUCGAGUACCUUCUUCUACAUCUCUGCAGUUGGUGAGUCCUCAUGGUUCGAGGACCUAUAUCUUUCAUUUUGUCUUACUGAUAGAUGGUCAUUUAUUUUCAGUUCAGUACGAGUCAGUUGGGAAUCUGUCCCAGUGGCUCCUCAGUCUUAUAUAGUAGAGGCUUUGUCAGACUAGAGUACCAGUAUGUAAAGAACGUUAGUAUUUUGAUUGUACAGGACAUAUUACUUUUUAUCUCAGUAUGUUCAUGGCAUGAUUAUUCUUCCUUAUUAUCGAUCGACUAUUGUUAUGGUGAAUUAUAGGAGUAAAGACAGGCUCAGAGGGUUAGCUUAAGGCUGCAUGUGGCCUUAAGCACCGUGUGACAUCUCGGGAUAGGUUCUUGGGGCGUUACAAGUAUUUUCAGACAGUUGUUUUCAGUAUUGAUGUUCAGUUUUGGUAUUGUUAUACCUUAUUCAGACUUAUUUCAGUAUUGAACAUGAACCUUAUGGAAAGUUUUCGCCUAAUUUCCGCAUAUAUACAGUUUUAUUACUCAGUUAUUAUAGCAGGUACCAGUCAUGGGUUAGCUUGUGGUCCUUUGGGAUUUAUAAGCACCGUGCAGCAUCCGAGUUAUAGACUCAAGGUGUUACAAUUAUGUACAUUCUCACUUAGUUCAUCUCGAGGUCGUUUAGACCCCCCAUUAGAAUGUUCAUGUCUAUAUUAUACGGAUAAAUAUUUUUAAAGAAUUUAGCAUUAUCUUAUUCAAUUACCGUAUUUUCAUUAAUAUCCGAAUGUUCAAAUUUAUGAACCAAAAACUGACAUGCUUUACUACUUUUAGCAUAUCCUAUGAAUAUGCAGUUCGCCGUCUUAGGUCCUAUCUUAACCCUUUUAGGCAUAGGAACUUGGACCUUCGCUAGACACCUCCACACUUUAGAAUAUUAAAAGUUGGAUUUUCUUUCUUUCUAUUUUUCAUAAGGAAUUGAUUGUGUCUUACUGUGGGGAAUUCUAUUGAGUAUCUGGUUGGCUGUAAGGAUAGCCUCCCCCCACAAACUUUGCAGUAAAUUUGAAUUUAUAAGCAAGGCAUUCAUCAUUUCCUUCAAAGUUUAUUUUUUUUCCGCAAUUCCAUUAGAUUGAGGUGAGUAUGGGGCCGUAGUUUGAUGGACGAUUCCAUUCUCAACACAUAUUUACGCAAAUAGAGAUUCAUAUUCUCCGCCCCUAUCACUUUUUAUAGUUUUGAUCUUUUUCUCUAACUGAUUUUCAACUUCAUUUUUGUAUUGCCAAAACGCAUCUAUUGCUUCAUCCUUACUAUUUAGCAAGUAGACGUAACAAUAUAUAGUGCAAUCAUCAAUAAAAGUUAUGAAAUACUUUUUUCCACCACUUGAUAGUGUUGAUUUCAUAUCACAAAUGUCAGUGUAUAUUAAGUCUAAAGGAUUGAAAUUCUUUUCGACAGACUUAUACGGAUGCUUAGCAUACUUUGAUUCCACACACAUUUAACACUUUGAUUUAUUGCACUCAAAGUUUGGCAAAACUUCUAAGUUAAUCAGUUUUCGCAAUGUUUUGUAAUUAACGUGGUCUAAUCGUUCAUACCACAAAUCAUAAAACUUAAGCAAGUAAGAAGAAAUUAAACUUUUAUUGAUUUCAAAAUUCAUUACAUUCAUUUUGAAUAGGCCCUCAUUGAAGUAGCCUUUUCCUACAUACACUUCUCCUUUACUAAUUAUAAUUUUUCCAAAAAUAAAUACACAUUUGAAUCCAUAUUUUUCUAUAAAUGGUAUAGAAAUCAAGUUCUUCCGUAACUCCAAAACAUACAAGACAUUGUUGAGUGUUAAUACUUUGCUUGAAGUUAUUUUCAAGCAUACUUUUCCUGUUCCUUCUAAUUUUCCAGUAGCAGAGUUUUCCAUGUAGAUCUUUUGUUUUACUUGAGUCGGAGUGAACGUCAAAAACAGCUCCUAUUAGCACAAACAUGGUGAGUGGCACCGGAAUCCAUCAACCAUUCGUGGGAAUUUCUUACCAUGUUGCAUUCAAAUAGCAUGGCGCACAAAUCAUCUGUUUCUAUAAGACCCCGCACAUCCUAAGCUUAAUUCAGCCCUUUAAAGUUUGUUAAGGGUCCCAGACUUAGAAAAUUUCAACCAAGUAUCAAGAAUUAGAAUUAUUUUAGCCUUUAAAAAUUGGAGGAUUUUAUUUCCAACCCUCCCGACCUUAGAACGUCGAUUUUCAAAUUGAUUCAUGAUCAGGGAUGUCAAAAGGUAUUCUGGGGUGAGUUUCGAUAUUUUUGGACUAUCGUAGAAGUAUGUUUGGGGGUCCAAAAUAGUAGCUGCACGCGAUUAGCGUGUGGUGCACGCUCUAGUCUACCCCUAGAGGGGCAUGUGAUAGAUUAUGCGGUGCACGCUCCAUUCUAUAGUUCCAGAGCAUGCGACGCACGCUCCUAAAAUUUUUAGAUUUCAGUUCAGCGUCCAGAGGGAUAUUUGGGUCAUUCUCCCACCCUUAAUUAGCCCCAAAACCACAAAAUUCGGCCCUCAAUAACCAAAACAUACUCAUUUUCUCUAAAAUUCUCUCAAGAAUAAGCCCUAGGGUUUACAACCCAAGAUUCAAGUUCCAAGGAAUUCACCACAAUUUUUAGAGAAUCACUAAUCAAGGUAUGUUAAGGGUUCAUCUUUGGGUAUCCUUAAGAAUCCUUUUUAAAAUCUCAAGUUAAUAGUUUCAUGGAUUAUAUGUAUAAAUUGGGUUGCUUUCAUGAUCAUGUCAUUUGUAUGGGUUUCAAAUUCAAGAUUUAUUGUAGUUUUCAUGAGUAUAAGGGAUCAUGUAUGUAUUAAUUGAAAUCCUCAUAUCAAAACCCUUGAAUUAUGAAUUAUUGAUUUUAUUCAUGAUGCAUCCACAUGUUAUUUAUUCCCAAGUACAAGAUUAUGCCUACCAUGUUUUGAUAAAAUGCUUAAUCGAGUUAAUUGUGCAUUUAUAAACCCUUGGUGACCUUAGUGUUGACCUCAUGCCAUUAUAAAGUGUUUAAAUGUCUAUCAUGCUAAAGUUAUGCCUUGCACGUGUUUUUUGGAAUGCCUAUGCAAAUUAAAUAGUGUACUUAUGACCUGUUAGCAUACAUCCUAAUCAUGUAUAAGUUCAUGACUUCCAAGUGCUUGAUGAAAUGCCUCACUGGUUGCAUGGUUAAUGGUUGACUAUUGUCAUGUUUCCAAGAGUUGGCAUAUUUUAUUAUUGCCCAUGCUAUUGAGUCUUGGGGGUAUUUAAUACCUAACAAUUUAGUUGUUUACCUAGAGCCAGUGUCAGCUGCAGAAUAGUCUCAAUCAUGUCACGAUCAGUAGAACUCAGCCAAUUACAGAACUCAGAAAACUCAGUAAACUCAGUGUUAGUCCAGUCCAGUCCAGUAUUUAGUUUAGACCACAGUAAACUCAAUCAGCUAACAGAACUCAGUAGCAUACAGUCAAUUAACAGAAUUUAAUAGUAUUCUAUCAGUCAAAGAAACUUGGUGAACUCAGUUAAGUUCAAUUAAACGGUACGAUCAGUAAUAGUUCAAUCAAGCCUAGUAUAAACUAGGAAAUCAGUUUAACGUCUAUUCAGUUGGGAGUAGAAUUCAGCACCGAGUAAAUCCAAGGAUGGAGACUCACCUGUCAGUAGAGGGUAUAAUCCUUAGAAGUAGUUCUUGUGUUCUAGAACUACGUAGCCAGCGUAGUUUGGGAUAACUUCCUUCUAGAAAAGGGUUGACACGUAUCUCAUGAGUUUUUCCUAUUAGUGAGGGUUGACGAAAGAGCUUCUUAUUAGAAAAGGGUUAACCACAGCUUGUCUUUACUCAUGGAACGGUAUUAACACCCUUCCAACUGGGGUUACAGGUUAGACCCCAAAUCAGUUAGAUAAGGGAUAUUUCGGUUAGAUGAUUACCUCCCACAGUUUCAAUCUCAGUUAUCAGGAUAGAACUUAGUUUAGUUCUAUAGAAUCAGGACUGUCAGAUACAAUCACUCAACUAGUAAAGACUCAUGGAGUUCUACAGAUUCAGGAUUGUCAGAAACAGUCACUCAGUUAUCAAUUAUCAGUAAUACAGUAUUAUUAGACUCAGUUAUCAGUACCAGUAAACUCAGACAUCAGUUAAUCAGUGUUCAGAACUCAGUAUCCAGUGCUAGUAUGAUAUCAGUCAUAGUUUGUGUACUCAUGCAUGUACUCUCAUUUAGUUAUAUUCAUGAUAGUCAGUCAGUAUUGUUCAUGCAUUCAGACUACCUCACUUUGCAUACCAGUACAUUCAAAGUACUGGCGCAUACUUUUCUCUUGUGCUAUGAUGUCUUAUAUAAUAGGUUCACACGUACGAGUUCCUGACUGCACUUCGUAGCUCGGACUAUCAGCAACAUACUUAGUGGUGAGUCCUCAUAGUUUGAGGACGGUUUUAUUAUUUCAAUACACAGUUAUUUCAGUAGUCGAAGUUAGUUGGAGACUUGUCCCAUCAACUCCAUGUUCAGACAGUAGAGGCUUCUUAGACUAGAGUAUUUCAGACAGAUGUUCAAUUUUGUUAUUAAUAUAUCGUAUUUAGUAUUUAUUUAUAGUAUUGAACCUUAUGGCCAGUUUUCUACUAAUUUUUGCAUAUUUACUGUAUUAUUAUUCAAUUAUUAUAGCAGGUACCAGUCAUGGGUUAGCUUGUGGUCCUUUGGGAUUAUAAGCACCGUGUAGCGUCCGAGGUACAGACUAGGGGCGUUACAGUUUCUUUCUUGGAAUUAGCCAAAUUUUCUUGGUCCUUCUUUUUUCCUUUCUUAAGUACACGACAAUCCGUAGACUUGUGGCCAAUUUUGCCACAGUUGAAGUACUUUUCCUUGAAUUUUUUUUGGGUUAAUUGUUUUUAUUUCCAGUUUUUUUUUGCUUUUUAGAGUUUUUUUUUAAUCAUUUUCUACAAUGCUUGCUCCAUUCAUUGUAGAAUUUCCUCUUGAUCUUCUUUUCACAGCCUUAUUAUCUUUUUCAGUGUGCAGUCAUACAAUUAGGUCUUCGACUGACAUCUCUUUACGUUUGUGUUUCAAAUAGUUCUUAAAGUUUUUCCACAUAGGUGGUAGCUUCUCUAUUAUUAUUAUUGUUAUUUGAAAUGUCUCUUUCACGAUCAAACCUACAAUAAAGGUUAUGUGAAUAUUAAGACCAUUUUUAAAUAGUUCAACAAAGGUAUUUGUCAAAAUCAUAUCUUCCGCAAGGAGAUCAUGGAUGAUCACUUGCAGUUCCUGCACUUGGGAAACAACAAACUUGUUGUCUAUCAUUUUAUAUUCUAGGAAUCUUGCAAUGAAGAACUUUUUAGUUCUGGCAUCUUCAGUCUUGUAUUUCCGUUCUAGUGCCCUCUCACAACUCUUUUGUUGUCUUUGUUCUACUAUACACAUUCUAGAGGUCAUCUUGGAGACCACUCAAGAUGUAGUUCCUGCAAAGAAAAUCUGAGUGCUUCCAAGCCUCCAUAAUCACAAAUCGCUCUUGUUCAGAGGAGGUUCCCUCGGGCACCUCCAGAGCUUCCUCAAAUAUGAACCUUUGAAGACGCAGAGUUGUAAGGUAGAAAAAUAUUUUCUGCUACCACUUUUUGAAGUCAAUAACCGCAAACUUUUUGAGUUUCUCUGCUGGUGUCAUUGCCGACAGAGCAUUCGUACGACUUGUUAUAGCAAUACUAGUUGUCGCCACAGUCAUUGUAGCAUCAUGCACUUGACUAUCAGUCGUCGUUUUCCUAUCACCACAAGACAGUAACUUUAGUAUAUCAAAAUACUAUUAAUAAAGUUGCAGCAACUUUAAACACUCUUUGUUUCUAGUUCAAUGAUGAAGUUUUUAUGACUUCCAAUCGUCAACUGAGUGAUCUUUAACUUGUGAUGAAGAUUUUAUUUCUUCAAACCACUAGUUAAGUUCAAACGGAGUAGAAAAUUUAAAGCUUUAAUCUCUAGAAAUCAAGCAAUACAGAUUUCAAAAUAUUAUUCCUUAAGAUUGUUAUCUUCAAUGUUUUCGGAUACAAGAAUCUGUAUAUAUAUACUACAACAAUUUCAAUACAAGUUCAAGUUUAAAUCAAGAACAUUUAUGAAGUUCCUUAACACCUUCAACACAAGAUUAUGAAUAAUUUAUCCAAGAAGUAUUUUAUAUUUCAUAAAUGAGAUGAAAUAGAAAUGUAAAGCCAAGUCCCCCGACUUCACGGAGUGUCCUUAAGGAAUAAUUCCACUCACUGUACUCAAGGUUUUGGAAUAUUCCUCCCAGGAUAAAAUGGCUUUCAACCGAACUAUAGCGGUACCUCAAAUAAUUGGAUUCAUCGAACUCACUCAAUAACUUAAUGAUCACACAGAGUUUUUGUAUAGAAGAAGAGUGUUUUUGCUGUCAAAAAACAUAUCUAUACCUGAGGAAUAUAUCAGGUAUUUAUAGCCUUUAAUGUGUCCUUUCGGAAAGGAUGCAUUGGUUCAACAGAAAGACAUCUAUUCAGUACAGUCACGUCACUUGCACCCAGUCUGUGCUGGAGCUGCGCUCGAACGGUGGCCGCAAGUGACACUAUCUGAAUUACAAUAAGCAUCUGCGAUUCACCUGUGCCCGUAGGUCAUCAAAGUGCGUACACAGAUCGCACUACAGCACGAAAUAGUGUGCCUUUUACCUCGAAGGGUCGCAUCCCUUCGAGAUGGGUUGCGUAUGCGUUUGCAUGGUAUCCGAAAUAUGCCCGCACUUGGAGAAAAAUAAUUCUAUCUGAUUUUUGGAUUAUAAUUUCACUUGUAAAACAAGUUUCAAAUCAAAUUCAUCUAAAAGAUAAAUCUCAUCGAUCAAUCAUUUUCCAAAUCCAAAUUCGAAGCCGAGCGAACGAUGACAACAACAAUGCGAUGCACCACCAUGAUCUUGCCUCGCUAAGCCGAGCCGAGCGAGCGAUGACGGCGCAAGGCACCACCUUAUUUUUGCCUCACUAUCCAUGUGGAGUAAGUGUUCCUUAUUAUAAACACUUCAAAGUUUCCUUCUCCCACCAAUGUGGGAGAAUUAGUGAACUUUCCAAUAUAAGAGUACAUCUUCCAAUUUGGUUACUCUCUUCCCCUCCACUAUUUUUCCUUCAUUUUCCAUUCACAUAUACACCUUGAACCCAACACUUUUGAGGUUCAUAUAUUCGAUAUUUCAGAAAUUAUAAAUUUCAAAUUUUGGAUCAGCCUCCAUUUACUUCUAUAUAAUUGUCACUUUUAUUUAGUUCCACAUUCUUGAAUCUUGAGAAAUUGAAAUAAUAAGGCAUGCAAGUAUAAUUUCAUGUCUAUUUAUAUUCUUACUCAUCCUUCAAUUAGUCGUGGACAAAUGUUGUAGCCAAGCAUUAAGGUCAUCACUACAUCAAUUUCCGUACAAGGAGAUAAAAAGUUUAGAUCGGAAUAAGGAUGGAGCAGCACCAACAUCAAUACCUCCACAACAUAAUUUACGUUUUCGUUGGAGUAGAGUCGUGCCACCAGGCCCACCACCACCUCCGUCGUCAUCAAUGCUAACACCAUUGCCAUCACCACCAUCACUGUCGCAGUUCCUGACUCCACCUCCACCAUCAUUGAUACUAUCACCAUUACCAUCGCCAUCGCUACCACAAUUGUUGACUCCAGCUCGACCAUUAUUGAUACCAUCACCAUUGCCACCACCACCACUACCAGCAAGUUAUUCAUGAGCACCAAUCCCACUAUGCCAUUAGAGAAGAUAUGUGCUGAUUUUAUUAAGAGUUUAAGAUCUAUGCUACAAAAUAUUUUACACCAUAGGUAAACUUGAAUUGUUAUUACUUGUUACACAAUUUUGUAUAUAAAAUUUGAAAAAGAAAAAAUUGAGUAACCUACAAUAACAGAUCAAGUUUACUUGAUAGUGUACAAUAUUUUGUACAUUGACGUUGCACAAAAAUUAAAUUCUACUUAAAUUCUUUUAUUGACAGAAUCACAUAAAUUUUGUAUCGUUUUCUAAUCUUGUAAAAGAGGUAGAGACGAAUUCAGAAUUUAUAAUUUAUGAUUUCGGGUUUUAAAUUUUACCGCAGUCUAUUGAUUUAUUGGAUUCAAUAAUCUAUUAGUUAAGCAUUAGUAGUAUUAUUUGCUUAGUGAAAUUUUUACAAGCAGUAAGACAUCAAUCAUUUGACUUAUACAGUCGAAGAUAGAGGUAUCUAUAUAUAUAUAUAUAUAUAGUUGAAUUGUCCUUCAUUAAACAUCUCCGCAAUAGAUAAAAUUAUCUUUUCACAUUUAAAAAAAAAAAUUAUGAUAUUAAAGGAGAAGGUUUUCUUAUUAUGAUUAAAUUCUUAAUUUUAUGAUAAUUUCUUUUCUCACGGCUAAAGAAAAUUAGCAAAAGUCUUUCUUUUGAGCUUUUAUUUGGAUCAUAUACAAUACUUCCAAAAAUAUUGUAUAAUACUCUAAGAAUAGUUAAAAAAAAAAAUAUUUAUUUCCUUGGCACAAAUACAAAAUUAUUUUAAAAAUAAAAUUUGUUGGCACAUAUAAGGGGAUGUUAAUGUAUUUCACAUUUUCACUAUCUUAUUUGUAUGUUAGAUAAUACAAAUGCUAUAUAAUUAAUUAAAUAACUUCUCCAUAUUUACACGUUCAAAAGAUGUUAUAUUCAUUUUUAUUACUUAAACAAAUAUCAUAAUUAGUAUAGCAUUUAAACUCAUUAAAGUGAGGUACACGCACGAAGCGCGUACAUCUAAACUUAUAUAUAUAUAUACUACCUAUGUACCGAUUUUAUUUUUAUUAAUUUUUUGGUCGACUUUACUGCAUUUUUUUUUUUUUUGAGUACUUUGAUAUGAUUUUUGAAUAUUUGUUGUGAGAAAAAUUAUUAUGUAAUUUAAUUAUGUUUUCUUUUGUUUCUAAGAAUAAAUGUGUUUGAGCAAGAAAUCAAAAUAAGUGGUAUAUUAAAACAUUUUAUUUUUUACUGUCAACAACACAACAGAAUCAUGAUCUUGAUAUCCUGAAAUAAGAACCACAAAAAGAUAAAGAAAAAUCUAUUGAGGACCUAUCUCUUGAAAGAAUUGAGAAAGACUUCACGCACAAUAAGCAAACAUUGAAGUUGAAGUAGUUGCAUGCUUUUAAUAUGGUUGUAAUAGUUUUGACACCUAACAUAUAUGUGAUUGAAACAAUUCUUAAUAAACAAGCACACAUAUUGUUUUUUUUUUCCACCUAAUGUGCGGUAUCUUCAUUGGAGUUCCAACUAAUUCGGAUAGCACACUGCAGGGGUCAUUCUGGAGGUGGCGCUCCCAACAGAAUUUUCUCAAUACCCAAGGCUCAAACCCGAAACCUCUGAUUAAGGGUAAAGUAAUCCCACCACUACACCACGACUCAUAUUAUCAACGAGUUCAAAAUUUUGAGUUUAUGCAUUCUGAGUUUUAAAUAAAAUAAAUUCAUUCGGUUCUUGAAUAAAUUAUAUGAUAAAUGAACUAGCUGUUUCACACAAAUACAACAUUUUAACUAAAGCUAAGCUAUUACGUUCUACCUAUUUCGUAUGAAGCUUCCUCUCUAGUUCUGCCUGGCUCUAAUUGGACCAUGAGCACUUCAACAUGACACAUGUUCUCACGUACGUGUGAGUCUGAGUGUUUUUCUUGAGACUAGUAAGUGAAAGUUUCUCCUAAUGAUGAUGGUGAUUGAUUAGAUUUGCCUCUAAACUUCUGUCUACUCUAAUAUCAUUUAAGAUUUUGUCACUAUUUUACCAAAAAAUAAAAGAACAAUAAAAUAUUAAAUUUUUUAUCCUUCAUUUAAAAUUUUCGUAAUAGAUAAAAUUAUCUUUUCACAUUUUAAAAAAAAUAUAUUUUUAUGAUAUUAAAUAUUUAAAUGGAGAAGGUUUUCUUAUUAUGAUUAAAUUCCUAAUAUUUUGGUAAAUUCGUUUCUCACGUCUAAAGAAAAUUAGCAAAAGUCUUUCUUCUGAGCUUUUAUUUGCAUCAAAUACAAUACUUCUAAAAAUAUUGUAUAAUACUCUAAGAAUAGUUUAAAAAAAUUCUUUAUAUCCUUGGCAUAAAUACAAAAUUAUUUUAAAAUAAAAUUUGCUGGCACAUAUAAGGGGGGUGUUAAUGUAUUUCACAUGUUCACUAUCUUAUUUGUAUCUUAGAUAUUACAAAUACUAUAUAAUUAAUUAAAUAACUUUUCCAUAUUUACACGUUCAAAAGAUGUUAUAUUCAUUUUUAUUAUUUAAACAAAUAUCAUAUUUAGUAUAGCAUUUAAACUCAUUAAAGUGAGGUACACGCGCGAGACACGUACAUCUAAACUAGUAUAUAAAUAUAUGCGUUUUUUUUUUUAGUGCUUAGAUGUGAUUUUUUAAUAUUUAUUGUGAGAAAAAUUAUUAUGUUUUCGUUUGUUUCUAAGAAUAAAUGUGUUUGAGCAAGAAAUCAAAAUAAGUGGUAUAUUAAAACAUUUUGUUUUUCACUGUCAACAACACAACAGAAUAAUGAUGUUGAUAUCCUGAAAUAAGAACCACACAAAAAAAAAAAAAAUCUAUUGAGGACCUAUCUCUUGAAAGAAUUGAGAAAGACUGCACGCUCAAUAAGCAAACAUUGAAGUUGAAGUAGUUGCAUGCUUUUAAUAUGGUUGUAAUAGUUUUGAAACCUAAUAUAUAUGUGAUUGAAACAAUUCUUAAUAAACAAGCACGCAUAUUGUUUUUUUUUUUUUCGUUUUCCGUAUUUUUAUUGGAACUCCAAUUAAUUCGGAUAACGCAAUGUAGGACCCAUUCUGAGGGUGGCGCUCCCAACGAAAUUUUCUCCACACGCAGGACUCAAAUCCGAAACCUUUGAUUAAGGGUGGAGUAGUUCCACCACUACACAACGACUCAUAUUAUCAACGAGUUCAGAAUUUUGAGUUUAUGCAUUCUGAGUUUUAAACAAAAUAAACUCAUUAGGUUCUUGAAUAAAUUAUAAGAAAAAUUACAGAAACUAGCAUCAUUAAGAUUAUAAUUACAAUAAAUAGCAACACUUUUUUCAAAAUUACAACUUAUAGCAAAAGUAGCAAUAUUUUACUCACUUCAUAGUAAUAGAAGAAUAUGUGUUUUUCAGUUGUGCAUAUGUAUUUAUGAGUAAUACAUAUAUAUUUAUAUAUGUAUUUAUAUAGCAACAUUUUACUUAAAUACAAAUACAAUUUGUUAUUUUUCGUAAUUAUGAAACUUUUGCUAUAAAAGUUAUAAUUAAGGUGACAGAGUUGCUAUUUCUGAAAUUUUUCCAUUAUUAUAUGAUAAAUGAACUAGAUGUUUUACACAAAUACAAAAUUUUAACUAAAGCUAAGCUAUUACAUUCUACCUGUUUCGUAUGCAGCUUCCUCUUUAGUUCCGUCCCGCACUAGUUGAACCAUGAGCACUUCAACACGACACAUGUUCUCACGUACGUGUGAGUCUGAGUCUUUUUCUUGAGACUAGUACAUGAAAAUUUCUCCUAAUGAUGACAGUGAUUGAUUAGAUAUGCAUCUAAACUUCUGUCUACUCUAAUAUCAUUUUAAAUUUUGUCACUAUUUUACCAAAAAAAAAAAUAACAAUUAAAAUAACGUGGCAUUUUGUCCCUCUUCAAAAUUCGCUGAAAAUAAAUAAAAGUAAGACUAAUAUGUAUAAAUUUCAAAUGCCUAAAGACACCCAAAAUUAUAUANNNNNNNNNNNNNNNNNNNNNNNNNNNNNNNNNNNNNNNNNNNNNNNNNNNNNNNNNNNNNNNNNNNNNNNNNNNNNNNNNNNNNNNNNNNNNNNNNNNNNNNNNNNNNNNNNNNNNNNNNNNNNNNNNNNNNNNNNNNNNNNNNNNNNNNNNNNNNNNNNNNNNNNNNNNNNNNNNNNNNNNNNNNNNNNNNNNNNNNNNNNNNNNNNNNNNNNNNNNNNNNNNNNNNNNNNNNNNNNNNNNNNNNNNNNNNNNNNNNNNNNNNNNNNNNNNNNNNNNNNNNNNNNNNNNNNNNNNNNNNUAUAUAUAUAUAUAUAUAUUAGUUAAGUGUAUGUGCUUUGCACGUGUGUAUCACGUUAACUAUAAUCUUUGAAUAUAAAAAAGAAUAAAUUAUUAUGGGUUUGGCAUAUUUUCUUAAAACUACAAUAACCAGUGUUCAUUAAUCAAUGGAAUGAUUAUUUCUCUUCUUAUAAUAUGAUGAGUAUUGAAUAGUAUUCAAUUGUAAAUCUAGUUUUUAACGUCGAAUAAAAAAGUUUUGUAAAAAGAAUAUUAUUUGGUUUGAAUUUUUAAUUUGAGAAAAUAGUUCUUCCUCUUACAAUAUAUUUUAGAACUCCUUAAAUAUUAAUUCUCCUGAUAUUUAUUACCAUAUAUGUUUUCUUACCAAAUAAUUUAGGACUCUUCAAAUUUUAAAAUAUAUUACUCUCUUACCAAAAUAUUUUAGGACUCCUUAAUUUUAAAUAUUAUAAAAAUGAAUAAUAAUUAAAGAAAAUAAGUUAAAAGACAAUUUUUACUAUUGCAAAAUCUUUUAAUGAAGGGCAAAAAGUUCAAAUCACUUUUCUAAGGGUCUUCACACUUUUAAUAUAUUAUAGAUAUAUGUGUGUGUGUGAAUAAUUAAUUUAAGACAUAUCUAUAAUAUAUUAAAAGUGUGAAGUUCUAAGUAAUUUGAACUUUUUGCUUGUCUUUUCACUUAUUUUCUUCAAUUAUUAUAUUAAUAAUAUUUAAAAAGAGUCUAAGAAAAAAAUAUAAGAAAAAUUAAUAUUGAUGGAUUUUUUCUCCUUGUGUAGUUAGUAAAGGAGUCUUAAAAUAUAGAGGAAAAGAAUGACAUAAUAAAACGCAGCAAAAGCAAAAAUUCAUAUUCUAGAAAAAAGGAAAAAGUAACCUACCAAAAUCUAAUAAAAACUUGAAAGCUGGCCAGAAAAAAGAGAAGGAAAGAAAAAUCUUAGUACGUUUGAUCAAUUUGUUUAGCUUUUGAAUCACUAAUUACUCUUUAAUUAAUUAAUUAAUGAUAAUUUUCUUUCUUUAGUAAGAUUUAGAUUUUUUUUUCUUCAAAACUACCACGUGUAGAGAAAAAAACGGUCUAGAUAUAAAAUUUUUUUAUUAAUAUAUUAUCAUGUAUUUUUUAUAAACAUCAAUAACAUAAUAAGAUAUAUAUAUAAUAUAUAAUAUAUUAAAAGUGUGAAGUCCUUUAUAAAAGUGAUUUGAAUUCUUUGUCUUUCAUUAAAACUCUCCGUAAUAGAUAAUAUCGUCUUUUCAUAAUUUUUUUAAUAUUUAAGAGUUAAAAAAUUAAUUAAAAUAUUUAUGAUAAAACCUUUAAUUGUUUGAAUUCAUUUAAAUUUAGUCCUUAAACCUUUCCUUUUUUGAAUUAUAUACCAUAAAAUUAUGUAAUAUACCAAAUUUGUAAGGGAAAAAGAUAGCAACAUCACAUUAGGGUUUCCUUUAAGUUAAAAUUAUAAUUAAUUAUCUAUUUAAUAAAAUUUAAGGCAGCAAAGUCACGUUAUAAUUGUAAGACAAUAAAUUCACGUUAGCAAAGUAAUAUAACUAUUAAAUAAAAUUAUAAUUGUAUUUUAAGUUAUUUUAUUAUUACUCAAGGCAAAUCAAUUAAAAUUUUGGUAAUCAAACCUUUCAUUAAAAGUAUUUUCUUUAGACAAAAUCGUCUUUUCACUAUUUUUUUCUAAUAUUUAAAUUUUGAAAAUUAAUUAAAUAUAUUUAUGAUAAAACUUUUCCUUGUUUGAAUUCAUUUAAAUUUAAUCCUUAAACUUUUCCUUAUUUGAAUUAUAUACCAUAAAAGGACUUUUACAUUAACUACAUCUUUAUUAAAUUCAAUUUAAUUAAUUGAAAUGUUAGUAUUGCAAAUUUACUAGAUUUUUUUUCAAGUAAUAAAUAUUUUUCUUGUGAUGCAAAUCAUUUAUGUCUAUAAUCUAUAUCUAUAAUUUAUAAUAUAUUAAAAGUGUAAAGAUCCUUAGAAAAAUGAUUGAAAUUUUUUGUCCUUCAUUAAAAUACCUUACAAUAAACAAAAUCGUCUAACCUUUAAUUAAAUUAUAGUUACCAAUAAAAUUUUUAUUAUUUACCUAAAUCUUAAAAUUUCUUGUUUUAACGUAAUUAACAUGUCCAAUUUGUUAUGAUAGAAAGUACCGUAAUUAGUUUUGGAUACAAUUAACAUCACUUUGGGUAAGCCGUACAUAAAAUCAAAGUGCACUAGGAGUCUCAAAAAUUUUCCAAGUUUAGAGGAGUCCGUCCUCCUUUUGUUUUUCCUUUCAUAGUUGGGGGGUAUUUUAAUACAAAUCAUAUACAUGUUUAAAUUUAUUUAUUUUUUUAUUUAUCUAUUUUAAAACUUCUAUAAAAGGAGUUAUAAUUUCAAAUUCUUUUCAUUAAUUUUGUCCUAACUUUUUCAAGUUUUCUUGGUCAUUCUUUCACACAAUGGAGUCCAAGGUAAGGUCAAUGUACACAACUAUCCUAUAUAUGAAAUUGCACUAAAUAUGUUAUCAUUGUUAUUGUAUUUAGAAUGGAUGUAAAGUAUUGUUUUCAUAUAACAUUAAUUGGAUGCUUUUUUCUAUCUUUAUGAUCGUGUUGACGAAAAAGUUUGAAUAAUUUUAUAUUAGAUUUUACGUGUUCUUAUUUUGUCUUAAUUAAGUCGUAUUUUUGCAUUCAUUAUCUUCAAUCUUUAUGUCUUUUUUUUAUUUUUUUUAGUUAAUAAUUUUAAAGAUUGUAUAUGAAUUAUACACAAACAAUAGAUUCUUCUUUUUUGAUAAUUUCUCGUGUUUCUUUUCAAUUGAAAAAUUCUGAUUGAAAAAUUGAACGAAACAAAUAUAUUAUCGCAAACGAAAUUUGCCAUCAAGGUUCUCAAUAUUUUAUUCGUCCAUUUAGAUUGCUAAACUUCUUAAGGUUCAAGGUUUGAUUUGCUUUGGAAUUAUAAGUUUAUUAAUUAAAGACACACGUGCAAAGCAUGUACACUAAACUAGUAUUAUUAAUAAGAUGAUCAAAUGAUAAAACAAAGAGAAGUAGACUGAGAAGGACUUAAGAGUCAAAGAGUCAACUUUUCAAAAAGUCACGGGAUGUGACAUUGUGACUAAAAGAUUUGAUUAAUUUGGGAAAGUGAAUGGACUAUAUUAUAAAAAAAUACGUUAUCAUUAGUCGUUUAUGAAGAUAUAUAUAUAUUCAACAAGUUUGGAACUUGAAUAACUAAAUACUAUCAAUUAAAUUAUUUAGUGGAUUUUAACCUACAUAUAAUCUACUGAUUAUUUUAUAUUACUAGUUGUUUAUAGAAUAUAUAAUUAUGACGUUGAUUUUCUUAACCCAUUUGACUCACGAGUCACCAUUUGUGCAUUAUUUUAUCCAUAGAAAAUGCACAAAGGUAAGGGAAACUAAUAUAAAUUGGAAAUUUGGAAUGCAUAUUGUGGAUUUAUUACUACUUGAGAAUUUGAAAGAAUGAGGGCAAUAGAUAUAAUUUCAUUUUUGCUAAUAUCUUUGAUCAUCCAUGAUUCAAUUUGUGUGGAAUUAGUAGCAUCAAGGUCCAUGCAACAAUAUGAUAAUUCCUACAAGGAAAUGUUUUCUCAAUUUAAGGUAGCUAGAGAGCUAAGAGGCUUCGGUUUUAAAGGCAACAUAACAAUGUCACCACCAGAGUCUAAUAAGGAAUGUCAUAUGCAUCUCCCUCCUAUGAAGCCACCACCGCCAUCACCGUUAUCACCACCAUCAUCUCUAUCAAUACUAACAAGCAAAACAUGAGCUAGCUGAUAGGGGGUGGAGUUAGAAUUUUGAGUUUGUAGGAUUUUAAAAAAAGGUAGUUUACUCUGUUUUGUCGUGUUUGUAAGUAGAUGUGUAGCUCUAUGUUGUGAACUAAGUCAACUUUGCAAGGGGCUAUGGGUUAGAAGUGGUGGAUUGGGCUGAUUCAAUUGAGAUUAUUGAACCUAUUGAAAUGUUGGAGUGUUUUAUUUGGAAUCGAGAUCCAAUUGUCAGUUGAUUAAAUAGGACCUGAGAUUAGACAGAAUGGUUUAAGCGUACUGUUAUGAAGCUUUGACUGGUUUGUUGUUCUCUCAUCUCCAUUCUAUGUUUAGUUUCUCAUCCCCUUCUUGUUAGCUUCUUACUAUGUUAUCUCAUCUUAGUGUGGCUAUUACUUUCUUGUUCAAAUUUUAAGUUGUAAUUUAUGUUGAGCGAUUAUAAAUACAUUUCGCGUUUGUGUUAAAAAUUCAGAUGGUUACAUUCUGCUUAAGACUGUUAUAUGGGCCGGGCCGGGUCAACCCGGAACUGACCCGUGUCAUCUAAUCGGUUUGUGGGCCGGGCUGGGGCCGGGCUGGGCUCUAAGUGGGCCGAUCCAAUCCGGGCUCAACAGUAAAAAAAUUAAAAACAACCCUAACCCGGCCCACUUAACCCAAUCCGGUCAAACCCACCUAAACCCGGUUAAAAAAUUGAUCAAACUCAGUCAAGAAUAUUAAAAAAAAAACUUUUUUUCAAUAUACAAUAUAUAUACCCACCUAUAUACAUUAUAAAUACGUUAAACAAUAUAUAUACACUAUAUAUAUAGUAUAUACUACAUUAGAAUUUAAAAAAUAUAUACACAUAUACACAAUUACACAUAUAUACGCACCAUCCAAUAUAUAUAUACUACUUUAAAGUUUAAAUAAAACAUACGACAAUAUAUGUAUAUAUAUGUAUGUAUAUAUAUAUAUAUACUAAUUUAUAAAACAUAUACACAUGUAUACGUUAAAAAUACACAUUUAUACUAAUUUAUAAAACAUAUACACAUGUAUACGUUAAAUAUACACGUCUAUAGAAGAUAUAUACAUAUGUAUACUCACCAUUCAAUGUAUAUAUACUACUACUAAUAAAAUAUACUACAANNNNNNNNNNNNNNNNNNNNNNNNNNNNNNNNNNNNNNNNNNNNNNNNNNNNNNNNNNNNNNNNNNNNNNNNNNNNNNNNNNNNNNNNNNNNNNNNNNNNNNNNNNNNNNNNNNNNNNNNNNNNNNNNNNNNNNNNNNNNNNNNNNNNNNNNNNNNNNNNNNNNNNNNNNNNNNNNNNNNNNNNNNNNNNNNNNNNNNNNNNNNNNNNNNNNNNNNNNNNNNNNNNNNNNNNNNNNNNNNNNNNNNNNNNNNNNNNNNNNNNNNNNNNNNNNNNNNNNNNNNNNNNNNNNNNNNNNNNNNNNNNNNNNNNNNNNNNNNNNNNNNNNNNNNNNNNNNNNNNNNNNNNNNNNNNNNNNNNNNNNNNNNNNNNNNNNNNNNNNNNNNNNNNNNNNNNNNNNNNNNNNNNNNNNNNNNNNNNNNNNNNNNNNNNNNNNNNNNNNNNNNNNNNNNNNNNNNNNNNNNNNNNNNNNNNNNNNNNNNNNNNNNNNNNNNNNNNNNNNNNNNNNNNNNNNNNNNNNNNAUAUAUAUAUAUAUAUAUAUAUAUAUAUAUAGUUAUAUAGUUAUAUACUAAUUUAUAAAACAUAUACACAUGUAUACGUUAAAUAUACACAUCUGUAGUAGAUAUAUACACAAAUAUACAAAACAUAUGCUACUUAAUAUAAUAAAUUAAUAAUACUUGGUAGUAAAUUAAUAAUAUAUUAGAAGUAAGUUUUUAAUUUAAAGUAUAAAACUAGAAAUUCAAUUUAAAAUUUUAAUUCAUUAAAUGAAAAAAUAUAAAAAGUAAGGACUAAGGAAUGAAUGAAUUUUGGGAAUUUUAUUGAUUGCAAAUGAUCCAAAAUUUAUAAUUUACAUAAAUGAAAAAUCUACAAAUUAUGCAUCAUUUUUUCUAACUCAUGCAUGUUAAUAUUAACGGGAACUUUUAUAGGAUAGUCGAAGUCAACGAGGGCAAAACCAUGCAUUGAACUUGAUUCUGCUAAGUUCUCCCGUGAAGACAUAAUUUCUUCAAAUUUCAGCUCGUCGCUCGGCUCCAAUUCCAUUCCUUGGUUUCUUCUUUCCGCUCUAAUCUAAUCUCUGAGGCAAACUAGAACUUUCAUUGCAUUGCUUCUCAAUGAGUGUCGGUUGUCUCCAAGCUGUUGUCGUCCCUGACUAAAGACACUUUCUGAUGCAACGGUUGACAUUGGAACAUCCAAGAUAUCUCUAGCUAAUCUUGAAAGCACAGGAUAUUGUGUCCAAUCCAACGUGUUGAUCCGUCGUCUGCGAUCCUCUCGCACCGGCCGAAGAUAAUAUUUUAUCUCUUCCCGAUAAGUUGAUAUGUAAGCUCUCUCAUCAACACUUUUCCAAUAAGUUGAAUCAAAAAAGGAAUCAAAAAAACCACUAUGUGCCGGCCUUUUAGAAGAUGAUGGAUCCUCGGGAGGAUAAGGAGCGACAGUUGGAGUGAUAUUUGUAGGUACGGCUAAAUCAAAUAAAUAAACAUAGUGAUUAUAUAAUUUUUCUAUGUAAUCCUUUGCAUCAUUCAUAACCGUACACAAAUCAGGUUGUACUUGUUCAGAAUUAUGGUUAAUAUUUAUUUCUAAGUUAGUAUAAAUAACAGUACUAAAGUGGCACAUAUUAUUAUAUUUCAUGCACGGAUUUAACAUAGCACCAACCAAGUACAUAGGGGGAAUUGGGAAAAAAUAUUUUUUAAAUUUAGUAAAGAUGGCACCAACAGCUUCUUUAUAACCUUCUUUAUUUUUAUAUUCUUUGAGCAAACCAGAAAUAUCGNNNNNNNNNNNNNNNNNNNNNNNNNNNNNNNNNNNNNNNNNNNNNNNNNNNNNNNNNGAAAAAUUCAACCGUAGCAACAUAAAUUUUUUCUAAAAACUUAACAAAAUCCUUAAUCACAACCCAAUCAGAAUCAUGUAGCAUGCAAUUAACAAAAUCAGCAAAUGAACCGCAAUGUUGGUUAAAAGCUAGUGUAAUAGGAAUUCUAUAUUUAUAACAAGUUUUUAAAAAAUCAUACGUAGAAUUCCAUCUAAUAUCAAUUUCCUAGGGCAUCAAUAUCGGUGCAAGUCCAUUUUCUUGACAUUUAACUUUAAAUUCUCUAAUUCUCGAUCUACGAUUAUUUCCUUGAAUAAAAUCAACAUCAAGAUGAAAUUUUUCAAUAUAAAGCUCAAAAAACUCAAGAUCCUUUACAAUUAAAUUAUAUAUAUGACAUGCACACUUAAUAUGAAAAAUUUCAGGCAACGACGGAGAUAGCGUAGAUUUUAAUUUUUUUUAUAGCAGUCUUGUUGUUAGAAGUAUUAUCAAAAGCAAUAUAUAAAAUUUUAUUUUCGAUACCAUAAUAUCCGACAACUUUAACAAUAGAAUCAACAAUAAAANNNNNNNNNNNNNNNNNNNNNNNNNNNNNNNNNNNNNNNNNNNNNNNNNNNNNNNNNNNNNNNNNNNNNNNNNNNNNNNNNNNNNNNNNNNNNNNNNNNNNNNNNNNNNNNNNNNNNNNNNNNNNNNNNNNNNNNNNNNNNNNNNNNNNNNNNNNNNNNNNNNNNNNNNNNNNNNNNNNNNNNNNNNNNNNNNNNNNNNNNNNNNNNNNNNNNNNNNNNNNNNNNNNNNNNNNNNNNNNNNNNNNNNNNNNNNNNNNNNNNNNNNNNNNNNNNNNNNNNNNNNNNNNNNNNNNNNNNNNNNNNNNNNNNNNNNNNNNNNNNNNNNNNNNNNNNNNNNNNNNNNNNNNNNNNNNNNNNNNNNNNNNNNNNNNNNNNNNNNNNNNNNNNNNNNNNNNNNNNNNNNNNNNNNNNNNNNNNNNNNNNNNNNNNNNNNNNNNNNNNNNNNNNNNNNNNNNNNNNNNNNNNNNNNNNNNNNNNNNNNNNNNNNNNNNNNNNNNNNNNNNNNNNNNNNNNNNNNNNNNNNNNNNNNNNNNNNNNNNNNNNNNNNNNNNNNNNNNNNNNNNNNNNNNNNNNNNNNNNNNNNNNNNNNNNNNNNNNNNNNNNNNNNNNNNNNNNNNNNNNNNNNNNNNNNNNNNNNNNNNNNNNNNNNNNNNNNNNNNNNNNNNNNNNNNNNNNNNNNNNNNNNNNNNNNNNNNNNNNNNNNNNNNNNNNNNNNNNNNNNNNNNNNNNNNNNNNNNNNNNNNNNNNNNNNNNNNNNNNNNNNNNNNNNNNNNNNNNNNNNNNNNNNNNNNNNNNNNNNNNNNNNNNNNNNNNNNNNNNNNNNNNNNNNNNNNNNNNNNNNNNNNNNNNNNNNNNNNNNNNNNNNCAUAUCGUGAGCACCUACACCUAUUUCUUCCUCAAAAGGUGUACCAAGCGGUACCGGAGGCGAAGGCACACGGGGAUAUCUACUACUUGAACUACCUCUACCGCUAGUAAUUCAUUUUUUACUACCACUACCGCUUUCGAAACAAAAUUUUUUAACACCUUUAGUAGCGAGGUUUCUUAAUUUAUCCAUAAUAUAAAUAAAUUAAACUAAAAAAAUUCAAAAUACACAAAUAUAAUAAAAUUAAAUAUUAAACAAUUAAUACAAUAAAUAAAAAUUAAACGUAAAAGAUGGAACGACAAUACCAAAUUUUGAAAGUAUCCGAAAGUUGCGACUUUAGAAACUUCUGCUCGUACUUUGUGAAUGCAAAAUUAAAAAAUUAAAGUGAACACUUUAAGAAAUUAAAUAUAUUGAAUAUUUGAGAAUUGAGAAUUGAGAUUUGAGAGAGAAUAAGAUUUGAGAAGGUAGAAAAUUGUGUGAAAAAUGAUUUGAAGGUGUAGGGUAUUUAUAGAAUUUUUUUUGGGAUUAAAAAAUAAUUUUUAAAGUAUUUUUUUUUUUUAAGAAAUGGGCCCAAACUAGCCGUUUGGAUCCAAAAAGGGCUAUAUAGCCGUUGGGCCAACGGCUAGUUUGGCCCAAAACUCAAUUUUUUAUUUUUUUUUUUAAAUUUGAAUCCGGAUCGGGCCGGUUAACCGGUGGGCCUGGACCGGGCUAGGUCCGAGCCAGAUUAACUGGACCCAAAUUAAAAAAAUAACCGACCCGGAACCCGAAACCCUAAAACCCUAGGAAUUACCGAGCCAGGUCCUUUAAGUGGGCCGGAUAGGGCCGGGUCAGCCCGAUCCACUUAAGAGGCUUAACUCUGCUCCAUCACUAUAAGUAGAUGACUCCCUUUGACAUGUAUUUUUGUUUUCUUGUGAUUGUUUAGAUUUUGUUGUGAAAGGAUGAAUUCAGGAUUAUUGUGAGUGAAUUUGUUAUGUAGUUCGAUUCAUGUUUCCUUUUGUAAUUUUAAAAAUAAAUUUUCAACAAGGGUUAAUAAAAAAUAAAAAUUAUUGUCAUCAUCAAAGCCUAAUUUGAUACUUUGUUGGAAGCCUAUUCUGCCACAAAUUAGGAUGAAUAUCUUACAUUUUGAAGUACUGCUUUGACGAAAAAAACCCGAUUCCUUUUAAAUGUAUAAAUAAUUUAACUUAUUAUUUGUACUUUGUCCAAAAUAACAAGCUUUUAUCAUCAUACAAAUAUUAUGUAGCACAUGUUUUAGAGAAUAAAAUUCAAAAAUGCUUUACUCUUAUGCAAAAUUAUAUUGUCUAGACAAACAGGGUUGCAUAAAAUUAAAGGGGGUGGAAUUAUUUAGUAUUUUUAUUGUUCUUAGUAUUGGAAUAUGAGUUGUUUUUAAGAUUGGCAAAACAGUGGAACAGAAACAAAAAACAGGUAGAUUCAUUUAGUCCAUCGGCACGAGUUCAACCUGCAGUUGAGAUGCUGAUGAUCAUUGACUUUGAACUCAAGCAACACAAGCUAAGGAAAGAAAUAAUGAUGAAUCGAGACACAAUCUUCUUCUCAUAAAAGAAUACCACAAAUAUAUGAAUUCAUGUAAGGAAGGAAAGUAAAAGCAAGGCGGCGAAGAAUACAAGGAAGACGACAAAGAGUGUCCAAAUAGAAGUGGGAUUCUUGAAAAGAAGAACUCUAAAAAGGAAUGAAAUUCAUUAGUAUGAAAAGUAAUACGACCUAAAUGAAGCAAAUAUCUACAUAUAUAAAGUAUCCAGGAGUUUUCACAAAGUUAUUUGCGCUCAUAACUAAACAAAGGCAAAUCAUUGAUUCUUGAGGUUCUGCAUGAAGAAAUCCUAGAAGGAAUAGGUCCACAAAACAAAGUCUAGCUAUAGGUUUAGCUUGAAUGUACUCGAAGUGCCCUUCGAAUUGUAAUCGCUUAUGCUUUCAUAGUUUCACUGUGUUAUAAACUGAAUUAGGAGUUAGUCAUCAAGUUGAGAUAACUUGAAGGUUGGGAACACAAGCCUUGAGAGUUUUUUUAUGUAAUUAGGAAUUAGAGUUUAUAAUUCCUUUAGAUUACAUAGUAUGUAAUCAUUUGUUUGAGCGAUUCCUUAUUUUAGAGAAAUUGGGUUAAAUCCUGUAGAGUUACAGGUUGUGUUUCUUUAUACCUAUUUUGAGCUGAAUAUUUUCCACGUGAAAUAUCGUGUUCUUAUUUCAUUACUUUUUCUCAUCUGUAAAAUACGUUAGAUAAUCCGUUUCAUCCCAAAAAUUAAUUAUCUAUAAAUCACUAAAAUAUUGAGGCUUGUGAAAUAUCAAUUGAUUUUUUCUUCCAUUUCUUUUCUACAAGGGACCUACCUCUUGAAUAUUGAUAAACAGCUCAAUUCCUAUAAGCAGAAUGAGGAAGAGUUGAGAGUCAAAGAGUCAACUAAAGCAUUUGACUAAUUGGGGAUAGUGUUGGACUAGUAUUUAAUGUAUUAUAAAAAUAUUUUAUUAAAUUAUCGGGUGUCCAUAUAUAUAUAUAUAUAUAAGUAUUGGAACUGAAAUAACCAAAUAUAAAUUAAUUAUUUAGUGGAUUUAAGUUAUAUAGUAUUGUUUUAAAAACAUUAAAUUAAUUCAGACACAAAAGGAAUUGCUUCUUUUGUUUUUCGCCAAACUUCAAUUAGAAAGUCAAUUUUAUGCUCUUUAUAGCUCAAAAUUAUGUAUAUUUUCUUCAUCAAAAGUUGUCUGUUUCUUCUCUCCACAAUAUUGUGAAGGCUAAGGUUUAUGCCCUCCUCCGUAUAAUCUUAAUUUUUUAAAAAUAUAGAGAUCGGACUCAUGCCUAAACUCCUCCAUCAGUUGGAUGCAUGGAUUACUAAGUUUUUUUUUUUUUUUUCUAAACUUGAACUCCAAAUUUAAUUUUCAUGUUCAAAUACCUAUCUAAAAUAUAUCAAAAUGUCCUUAAAUUUUAAUAAUUUUAAAAAUAAAGAAUUACUAAAAAUGAGAAGUGACAUUUUAUUAAAUGAAUUAAAAAGAGGAGUGAGAUUUUUUAUAAACUUGAGAUCACAUUCGAAAUCAUAAAUUUCAAAAUUUUGAAUAAGUCUACGUUUUCUUCUAUAUAAUUAAUGUCACUUCUCUUUAGCUCCAUAUACUUGAAAAUUUGAAACAAUGAGGCGUUCGUUAAUAUCCUUUCUCGUAUAUGAAUUAGUUAUGCAGGUCCACUGCAAAUGUUAUAGUGUUUCUGUCGAAGCAUUACUCAAGGCCGUUGAAGAGUUAAAAAGUCUAGAUCGGAAUGAGGAUAGAGAGGCACCAACACCACCAACACCACAACAUAAUGUAAGGUCACACCAUGGGAGGAUGAGGCGGAGCAGGGGCAGGGGGCACCAUCGGUCACCAGGCCAACUACUACCACUACAAGCUCCAUCACCACCAUCUUCAUCAAUUCUACCACCAUCACUAUCACCACCACCAUCACGUCUAUUACCACCACCAUCACCUCCACUAUCACUACCACUACCAUCACUAUAAUUAUGAGAAGAUCUGUAGAUUUUAUUAACCGAAUCACGUAAAGUUUGCACAGAAAUUGAUCUUGAUUUUGAAUAUUAAGUUCGUUUUCUGAUCUUGCAAAAAAUAUAUAUGCAUAGAGGUGAACUCGAAAUUUGAAAUUUAUGACUUUUAGUAUUAAAUUUUACGGUCGAGCCUAUUUGAUUUACUGGCUUGAAUAAUCUAUUAUUAUUAUUUAGAAAUAUACAUAUGCUUUUAAGGCUUUCAGUUUCCCUAUGCUUCUCAUAAUUAAAUGCUACUUAAUAUUUAAAUUCACAACGUAAGAAAUAUUUGCAGUAUGAUCUCAAAUAUUCGAAUAUGGUGUUAUUUUCUGUCUUUUAUAAAUUAAUAUAUAAAUACUCUAGUUGUUAUACCAAAUAUAUAUGAGAUUGAAACAAUUCUUAAAAAACAAGUACACACAUUUUUCUCUAUAUAUAAAUCUUAUCAAUGGUCCUGAAGUUUGAGUUUAUGGAAUUUAAAUUGUAAAAAAAAACAUAAGCUUACUGGAUUCUUGAAUAAAUUAUUUAUGCACAUUUUAAAUUAACUAGAUUUCUACGUAUUACACGAAUACUAAAUUUUGACCACAAUUAUUGUGUUCUGUCUAACCUCGUAUAUAGUUUCCACUUUAGCUCCGUCCAUGAUUUUACUCAAGUAUUCUACGUUUGACGUCGUGCUCCAGGGAAGCGAUAAUACAUUUGAAUCGCUUUAAAGUUGGACGGGAUCAACAAUUUAGGAAUAAUUAAACCUAAAAAAUUUAAAGAGAAAAGGCUUAAAUAUGUCAUCGAACUACUAAAAAUGGAUCAUCUAUGUCAUAUGUUAUAAGUUUCGCUCAUCUAUGUCGUCGCCACCUAGAAAAGUUUGACUCAUCUACACUACUUUAGUUACACAAAGGUUCAUUCAUACUAUUAUUGUACAACGAUGAUUUUAUAAAUCAAUUUUAUCACAUUACCUUUUAUUAAAAAUCCACGUCGCGCAAUCUAAAUAUUUGAACCUUUUCCAUAUUUAAAUAGGGAGUUAGGGUGCCAAUAGUUUGAUUGGACUGGUUACUUGAAUAAAUUUAUGCUAUACUGGAUUUUAGUUUAAUUCAAUUAUAUGUAAUCAAAAUUAGGAAAGUUUCAAAUAUCUUGGUAUAUCAAAGUUGAAAACUUUGGGGCUGUAUCCACAUCAAGGUGACGAGAUUUGAAUUUAUAGCCUUAUGUAUCCAGUAUAAAUGCACUGAUCAGACUGCCCCACACCUCGUUUUACCACCCCAAAUUAUAUAGAUUCACUUGAUCGAUGAACAAUUAGAUCAAACUCACCUAUCCUUUUGGAUACAGAGAUACAAGGUUUGAGCCUUUUUCCAUUAAUAUUAUUUUUAAUAGUUUAAUAACAUAUUUAAGUUUUUUUCUAUUAAUUUAAGAUAUACAUUAUUAAUAAAAUGAUAUAUAUUAUUAUUUAUUAAUAAGAUGAUCAACUAAUAGAACAAGAUUAGAAUGCAGAGGACUUGAGAUAUAUAUUAUUAUUUAUUAGUAAGAUGAUCAACUAAUAAAACAAUAUUUUAUUAUUAGUGGUUUAUGAAGCUGUACAUAUUCAGCAAGUUUGGAAUAAGAAUAACCAAACUACUAUAAAUUAAAUUAUUUUGUGGAUUUUAACCUAUAUAUAAUCUACUGAUUAUUUUACAUUACUAGUUGUUUAAGAAUAUAAUUAUAACGUUGAUUUUCUUGACCCUUUUGACUCACUAGUCACCAUUAGCGCAUUAUUUUAUGGAAAAAUUACAUAAGUCAACACCUAAACUUUUCAAUAUUACUUUAAAUACCAUCUUACUAAAUAUAUUACAAAAAUCUCUUCUAACUCAUAAAAUCCUAAUAUUUGCUGAUACAUUACAACUCACCCUAUUUUUGUGCCUCUUACUCCUUAAAACUCGCCCAAAAUCAUGGUAAAAUAUCUGAUAAAUUUAUCAAUUCAACAAUUACAAUCGUGUUAUCAACUUAUCAUCCACUACUUCAACAUAUUCAAACUUCAACUUCCAAUUACAACCUCCAUUAACUUUUUUCCUCAAAUUUAUUUGGAGGUUAAUUUGUUUUCAUAACUUUUUUUACAAAUUUGUUAAUUUGUUUUCAAAUUCACAAUCGUAAUUAACUUUUUUCAAUUUUUCAAAUUCUCCAUUAACAAUCGUGUUAAUUUAUUUUCAAAUUUACAAUCUCCAUUAACUUUUUUCUUCAAAUUUAUCUGAAUAUGAAGAAGAAAUUAUGGGAGGCUACUGGUAGUAGUCAUAAAGUCUAUUGUUGUAUCUACAAAGUAGAAAAGGCAGCAAGUUACAAAAAGAAACCAUUUAUCAAAGGUAUGAAUUACAUGUUUUGAAGUGAAUCCGAUACAUAAGUUUAAUGCACUGAGACAUUGCAUGGUUUCCAAUACAUAGUGAAAUUUACAUGUGAUUUAGGUUCUUUUUUAAUAUCUGAUAUAUUCACUUUACUGAGUUUGAUACAUAGUUCUAAGGUUUCUGAUACAUAAGAGACAUUGUAGUCUUUCUGAUACAUACUAAUAUUUAUAUGUGUUUUGGUUCUUGUAAACCUGACACAUUAAUAUGUCGAGUACAUAUAUCUAAUUUUAACGACAUAUUGCAUUAUUUUAUGAUAUAUAAUAAGAAAUUGCAUGUAAUUUGAGUUAGUUUACACUUGAUACAUUCAACAUACUUAUUAUGAUUCGUAAAUCAAUUUUUAAGAGAUAUAUCAUUAUAUCUGAUACAUAAUAAAUUUUGAAAUUGUUAUGAAUUAUUUUGCAACUGAUAUAUUCAAAAUAUUGGGUACAACUGAUACAUAUGUAUUGCAUUUAUAGUUCAUCCAAAACUACAUGUUGUAUCUUAUGUAUCAUUAUCAAUUAUAUGUUUUGGAUUAGGUACGUAUAAGUUUUUCUGACAUUUUGUGCAUAUUUUGAUUUUAGAGCAUUUGGGAGAAUUAUGAUUGGAGAAGGUUAAUUAUGGUGAUUCAAAUUUUAAUUAUGAAGUUGUUACUAAUUUUCAGAGAUCCAAGAGACAUAUCCCAAUCAAAAUCCCAUUAAUUGCUCUAUCAUUUAAUUCCAUAUCAUUAUUUUCCUUUUUUAUAGUCAAUUAGUUUGGUAGUUAUGUAUCUGUCGGUUAUGUAUCAGGACCAAACUUAUGUAUCAUAUCCGGAAUAUGAAGUAAUUAAUAUAAAAGUUGGGAGAGAGAGUAAUUAGGUAGCAAACUAUUGGUAUUUAUGUUGUUUACCCUUAUUUUAUCGAUCUUUGGAAUUAAAACUCCAUAGAAAAUGAACAAAGGUAAGAGAAACUAAUAUAAAUUGGAAUGCAUAUUGUAGAUUCAUUAUUAGAAAAUUUGAAAGAAUGAGGGCAAUAACUAUAAUUUCAUUUUUGCUAAUAUCUUUGAUCAUCCAUGAAUUAAUUUGUGUUGAAUUAGUGGCAUCAAGGUCCAUGCAAUAUGAAUAUGGUAAUUCCUUCAAGGAAGUGUUUUCUCAAUUCAAAGUAGCAAGAGAGCUAAGAGGUUUUGGUUUUAGAGGCAAAAUAACAAUGUCAUAAUCAGAGUCUAAUAAGGAAUCUCAUAUGCAUCUCCCUCUUGUGAAGCCACCACCACCAUCACCACUAUUACCAUCACCAUCACCUCCAUCAACACGAACAAACAAAACGUGAGCUAGCUGAUGGGAGUGGAGUUAGAAUUUUGAGUUUAUAGGAUUUUAAGAAAAGACAAUUUACUCUGUUCUGUCGUGUUUAGAAGUAGAUCUGUAGCUCUAUGUUGUGAACCAAGCCAACUUUGCAAGGGGCUUUGGGUUAGAAGUGGUGGAUUGGGUUGAUCCAAUUGAGAUUACUGGACCUUUUGAAAUGUUGGAGUGCUUUAUUUGGGAUCCGGAUUCAAUUGUCGCUUAGUUAAAUAGUACUUGGGAUUAAACAGAACGAUCUAGGCGUAUUGUUGUGAAGCUUUGGUUGGUCUGUUGUUCUCUCAUCUCCAUUCUAUGUCUAGUAUCACUACAACAAAAUACAUAUACAACUAUAAAAUACGUCGUAGCUAAAUAUAAAAAAUUUCGUAGCUAAACACUUUAGUCAUAAUUUUUUUUCAUAGCAUUCGUAGCUAAUAGUUAGCUACAGACGUUACAUGGUUCAUGGCUAAGGACUAAUCCAUAUAGCUACGAAAGAAUUUGUGUUGUAGCUGUGAUGGUAAAAAUAAUUUGCUACGAGAUAUGUACUAAUAGCAAUAAGUUUAAUCUCAUGUCACGAUUAAUAAAAUUUAUAGCAAUUUUAAUUUUAUAGAGACAAUGUUUUCUAUAGUGACAAAAGACCUGAUUUGUUUGCUAUGAAAAUUCAAACUUUGUUGCUAUAUUAUAUUUUAGUCUCGUGGCAUAAAUAAUUGUAUUUAGCUAUGAAUUAGAAAAUCUAUAGCUAUAAAUUGAAAUAUUUGCCACAAACAUUUUUGUACAUAGCAAAAAAUUCAUUGUUUUUGGCAAGAAUUAAAUAAAUUUUAUCUAUUAUUAAAAAUAUUUGCUAGGAAAAGUGAAAAAUUAUAGCCCUAUUUUGGAUAGUUAAAUAUAAAGUUUUAACCACGACUAUAAAAAUUCAUUGCUACAAAUUGAAGAAUAUUUUCAUAAAAAAUUAUUAAUUACAAAAAAAAUUAUAAUAUAGCUAAAAUUUAAAAAAUAAAUCCAAAAAUUUAAAGCAACACAUAAGUACAUUCAGAUUAAUUACAAUACAUAAUUCUUCUGUGAUAGCAAUUACAAUAACAUCAUCUUGCCUAAGAUCCUAAAUGAUAUAGUCUCUUCUCUUUCUUAUGUCAUUGUCUUGAAGGUGCUCUAAUCUCACAAGCUCACCUGCGAAUUUUCGAUAAAAUAAAUUAUUGCCAAAAAAAAAAAACAAUUGUAUCACAUAUAUAAUUUAAAAGGUAGCGUAAUAAUAUAUUUUACCUAAAAUAUGUUUACCGAAAUCUCUGAUAACAUUCUUAAAUGACCAAUUUUCAUUAGAUAAUGAAACUCAAUAAUCUUCAAAGGAAUCACAAGAUUCGAAAAUUUAAUCUUUUGCAUGAAUUUUUUUUUUUUUUAAUAAAGCUUUGAAAACCUACCCAUAUUAAAAUGCAAAAUAACAAACAUUUGAUUCUAAUGGUGUAUACAGUAAAAAGAUAUCACUUUUACUCAAAAAAAAAAAAAAUAUUUAGAAAGCAAAAGUCCAACUUACUUGGGCCUUUGGGCCACAGGUGACAAAAGAGUUUUAAAAUGAGGUGUACGUGACACAAUUCUUAAUUAUUAGUUGGAGGUGACAAUUACUUUAUUAUGGAUUAAGAAAAUUGAAAAAGUUUAAAAAUAACCCACAAGUUUUUAAAUUUACACUUUGAUCUCAAUAUUUACCUAAAAUUAUGGGAAACGGAGGAAAAAAGGCACUUUUCUCUUUCUUCUCAUCCAUUGUUGUUUUCUCUCUCUUAGCGAUUUUUGUUGUUCAUUGUUUCUGCUGCUUUAUUCAUCAUCUUCUGCUUCAUUAUCAUUAUCUUCUACUUCAUUAUCAUCCUCAUCUUCUUCUUGUCGACCAUUUAUCGUCGUUGUUGUUGUUGGUACAACUCUACUGCUGCUAUCUGACUAAUUUCUUAGGUCAAAUUUUAUUUACUACAUCACUUUCUACUUUGGCAUUACUUCAUAGGUGACUUUGGUAAGUAAAAUUAUGAUUUUUAUUCGUAUUUGUCAUCUGGGUACACUUCUAUUUUUCCAAUAAUGGAUAGAGCCUCGAUCAUGAAUCUAGCAUAAGUGCCCACAAUUUAAAUAGAUCAAUCAUCUGGUGCAUCAAAUGAGUAAUCUGUUGCAUCAGAAGAUUUAUCUGUUGCAUCAGACUGUUUAUCCGUUGCAUCAAAAGAUUUAUCUGUUGCAUCAGGAUAUUUAUCUGUUGCACCAAACUAAUUAUCUGUUGCAACGAAUGAUUAAUCUAUUUGGAACAACACAAAUCAGCCCCUGCCACAAACCCAACAGAUAACCAAUAUGUUUCAACUCUUGCUAUUGCUACUGGAUCCAAAAUUAUUCCUUACGUCCAAUUACCCGUCCCAAAUUCCCUAAUUCAAUUUCUCAUUUUACUUGUCUUUUUCAUUAAUCAAGAAAAGAUUAAAAAAAAUUCAUGUUUUACCCUUUGCAUUAAUCACUUUUUCUUCAAAGUAAAAUGAAAACAUCAUUUAAUAGGGGGACUAUACGUCGACCGACGUUAAAAGCUUUCUUCUCUUAUGAAAUUUCGAUUGAAUAGCAAACAAUGGUUAUUUCAAACACGUUUACUGUCUAACCAACUGAUCAGUGGGUUAUGGUAAACUAGACAUGUUAUUAAUUAUUUUUCUUAAUCAAUGUGGUGUCUCAAUUUGGGAUGGGUAAUUUGAGAUGAACGGAGUACGAAUUAAAACGUCAGAGCCAAGCAAAAAACUAAUCAUCUAUUGAAAUAGACUAUUUAUCUGUUGCAUCAGACUUCUUAUCUGUUGCAACAUGAGUAAUCUGUUUUGAACAACACAUUAGCCCCUGCCACAAACCCAACAGAUAAAUCUUGUUAUUGCUACUGGAUUCUAAAUUAUUCCUUUUUACGUCGAAUCUUCGACAUGUUUGUUGAGAAUAUAAUGGAAAGAAUGAAAAUUAACUAUGGAUUAAAACGUCAAAGAUCAAACAUAAUUUUUUUUAUUAAAUAAAAAGAAAUAAAAAUACAUAUAAUAGACUAAAAGAAAAAUAAUAAUCUAAUUAUUGUUAUUGUUAUUAUUAUUAUUAAUAUUAACAUCAUCAUCAUCAUCAUCAUCAUCAUCAUCAUCAUCAUCAUCAUCAUCAUCAUCAUCAUCAUCAUCAUCAUCAUCAUCAUCAUCAUUGCCAGUCGGCCAAUCUUCAAUCGGAAGUAGCAAGACCCUCCUCAGCCUGCGUAUCUCGCGGAGCAUUCUUGCUCUAACUCCUCCCAAUUCCCAUUGCAGGUCACGAACUUGAUUCUGAAGUUCAUUCACGGCGUCUUGCANNNNNNNNNNNNNNNNNNNNNNNNNNNNNNNNNNNNNNNNNNNNNNNNNNNNNNNNNNNNNNNNNNNNNNNNNNNNNNNNNNNNNCCUAUUUAUAGAGGAUUGAAUUUGAAUGAGAGGCAAAAAGGCGCGACUUUUCACCUCCAUUCAUUAAUUACAUUUUUUACUAAAUUAAGAAAAUAAAUAUUGUGAUAAGUCAUGACUUUUCAGAUUAUUAUUAUUAAUUAGUUCUUUCCAAGAACCGUUUUUAUUGGGUUGUGGCAACAGAUUCUAUAUCUGUUGCAUCAGAUAAUACAUCUGUGAAAACAGAUAUAUCAUCUGUUGCAACAAAUAUAAAAUAUGUUGCAUCAGAUAACCUAUCUGUUGCAACAUAUAAUCUAACUGUUCACCUUCAUUUAUUAAUUACAUUUUUGAUUAAUGUGAAAAGUAAUGACUUAAUUAAAUUAAGAAAUAUUGUGAUAAGUCAUGACUUUUUAGAUUAUUAUUAUUAAUUAGUUCUUUCCAAAGACCGUUUUUAUUGAGUUGUGACAACAAAUUCUAUAUCGGUUGCAUCAGAUAAAUCAUCUGUGACAACAGAUAUAUCAUAUGUUGCAAUAAUAGUGAACCUGUUGCAUCAGAAAUACGUUUGUUGCAACAUAUAAUCUACUUUUAAAAAAAAACUAUCAUCAUAUCAUUAAUUCAUAUUUACUGACUUUUUUAUUUUAUGAAUUAAAAAAAAUACCUUUUUAAAUUCUUUAGUAAAAUAAUAACCAUUUUAUUUUCUGGCAACAGAUUGUAUAUCUGUUGAAUCUGAUAAACCAUCAGUUGCAAUAGAUAUACCAUCUGUAGCAACAAAUAGACGUUCUAUAUUAAUAUCUUUUUUGAUUUUUUCUAACAGCUGAUACAUCAGUCACAACAGAUGGGGAAUUUGAUGCAUCGGCAACACUGAUGAAUAUAUGUGUUUUUGUUUUAGACAAAAAGUCACGACCGGCCUUCACCUUAUUUUUCUUAACAAUCAUCAUAUAAGUUAAUUCAUCCAAUAUUGUGACAUUUUUAUUAUAUAAUAAAUAAUUUUAAAAAAUAAAUUCAAAAAUAAAGAUGGUGAAAAGUCACGAUCAGUUAUUAAAAUUAAAUAACCGUUCUUUUACGGUUAUGAAUUAUAUUUAUAAUUUAUUUUCUUAUUAUUUAUUUACGAAAUAUUUUUCACAUUAAAUAAUCAAAAAGUCAUGGCUUUUUCACCUCUCAAUAACAACAAUAACUCUUUUUUAUUAAUAACCGCCUGGUGCAACAUAUGAUCGAUCUGUCGCAUCAGAUUAACCUGUAUUAAUACAAAUUUCUCAAUCCCUACCACCAACCGUCGACAUGUUGAGAACAAGGAAUAAACAAAAAGAAUUAAAAAUUCAAAGUCGACCACCAAAUGAAACAUAGAUUUUUGAAUCCCUUGGGUAGAUCCGAUAUACAAAAAGAGGAAAAUACAUGCACUAAAAUAAAAAAUAUUAUCUAAUUAUUAUUACUACUAUUAUUAUUAUUGUCAAUCAGACAUUUUUCAUCCGGCAGCCUUGCUCUGAAGUCAGCCAGAUCUCUCUGGAGUUCAUCAAACUGCCUUUAAAGUUAAUGCAAGGACUCGAUAUGAAUAUUCUUGUACGAAUCUGGAUCAUCCAUAUUUGUAAGGAGGGACCUAUUUUUAAAUUAUUAUAUCUCGAAAAGAAAAGAAAAUUGCUUUAAAAUAAAUCUAUUAGAUGAGUAAUCUGUUGCAAAAUAUAUUCUUUCUGUUAGAUAAAUUACAACAUACUGGCAAUCUCUUGCAACAGAUGUAUAUAUCUGUUUGAUUUCUCCAACAGAUACGUCAUAUGUUGCAACAGGUUGAUCAUUUGUCGUAACAGAUGUCUCCAAUUGUUUGACAAUAGAAACAAAUGUGUCAUCUGUUGCAACUAGCUAGUCAUCUGCUUAUUCAAUUUAAGCCAUAGAUGGGCUACAACAAGUAUCUAAUCUUCUCCAAGGAAUGUUGAAAGCAUGCUAAGACAAGAAAACACAAUCAAUUAUAACCAUAUUGUUAAGGGAGCGAAUUAGUUGUGUUUUAAUCUUUUGUAGAUUCCUCAAAUUAUAUUCUCCACAAUGAGUACAUGGAUUUAUCUUGAUUUGUCCCAUAAUUUUAAGAUACAUAGAAUCAAAGUCAAUUCUUGGUCAACUCAACACUUUCUCUGGGUCAAUGAGUUAAAUAUGUAAUCAAAAUCUAAUCAUAAUUCAAGAAGUUAGUAAAAAUAUGUUUAUCGAUAUUAAAUAGAUCUAGGACCUAACAGGAUAACUCGAAUCGUGCAAACUAGCUAGCCCAAGAGGUGAAGAUAGCCGAGGACCAUAUAAGGAGUCCAAGUUCUUAUUCCUACAACUGGUGUGGGGUUAGUCUCCAGGUAUUGUCCAGGAGUGGACAUUUAAAGUGUUGAUAGUAUGAAAUGGGGUACAAAAUCAAUAAACGAUGGAUUGAGAAGGGCCUAGCUAUGAUACAUAAUAAGAAAUCGACCCUAGCUUAACAGCAAAAGCUAAUUCAAUAGGGAACGAUUGCGGAUCGCAAAGACCAUGUGCUAUAGAAACUAUAAAGGUCACAUAAUAUAGAACAUGCCUCUCACCAAUGUAUCAAGAUCGUCUUUUUCCUUUGCGUUACUACUACCGCCACUAUAACAUAAAAAAGAAAGUUCCUCCGCGUGUCUUUGUUUGAGCUAAGUUGAGUUGAUCUAGAAGUCCAACAGUGAUAAGGGUUCUGCAAGGAAAAAGGAUAAAGCAAAAAGAGUCCUAUUCAACCAGGGGAGGAGAAACGGCUACAAUAAGGAGUGAAGUUACUUGAUAGAAUAAAGAAGAAGGAAGCAGAAAUCAAGAAGGACUCUACUACAGGAGAAAUUAUCAGGGUGCAUAUAUACAACAAAGCACGAUUAAGUAACGCACUGAAUGAAUAGAAAAGAAAAUCAACAAUCAGCAUAAAAGUUCAAAUACUUGAAGAAGAACCUGUUUCCUUACUUAGCAAGUCGUAGACUGUGUAGUAAGUAGGUUACUUGAGUUGUAAUGAGUCAUUGUUCUAGUCUCAGUGAUCUAUAAACUGAGUUAGGAAUUGUGUCUUCAAGUUGGAAACUCGAAGACUUGGGAACACUUAUCUUGGGAAGAUUUCUGUUUUUGUUAAGAUAGGAAUUAGAAGUUUUAAUUCCUAGUUAACAUGAAGUCUUGGAUUUUUCUUGAUUGUUGAGGCUCAAGUAUCAUAGUGAAGUUGGGGUUAAAUCCUGUAGAGGUACAGGUCGUGUUUUUUUUACACCUUUCUUGAGCUGGGUAUUUUCCACGUAAAAACACUAUGUUCAGUAUUUACUUCUGUGAACCACGUUUACUUACUUGUUCCAUAGUUAGGCAAACUAGGAAGGUUGAUACUCUAACAGUUGUCAUUAACUUCGUGUAGUUUUUAUGCUUGGGAAGACCUAUCAUCAACUGUUAUCAGGUUGCCAAAUCUCGAAGAGCUCAAACUUAAACAUUGUCAAUUCUAGAAUAGCCGAUGGAGCUUGAGGGCUAACGACAAGGUCGAAAGCUUGAAAUUGUUGUUACUGAGCGACCUAUAUCUUGACGUAUGGAAAGCUAGCAGUGAUAACUUCCCAAAGCUAAAACGCCUUGUUCUGAAGAAUUGCGAGAACCUGCAAGAAGUUUCAUUAGAUUUUGGCGAAAUUGGUACUUUGGGAUCAAUUGAGUGGAGUACCGCAGACAUAUAUCAGAGUAAUUAAGGAUAUGUAUGAGGGAGCGAAAACCCAGGUGAGGACGGCGGGAGGAGACUCAGAGCAUUUCAUUGUCCCGACAGGAUUGCAUCAGGGAUCUACUCUUAGUCCCUUUUUUUUGCGUUAGUGAUGGAUGUGUUGACGCGGCGUAUUCAAGGGGAGGUGCCGUGGUGUAUGCUUUUUGCAGACGAUGUAGUUCUGAUAGAUGAGACUCGAGGGGGUGUGAAUGACAAAUUAGAGGUGUGGAGGCAAACUCUUGAGUCUAAAGGGUUCAGGGUGAGCAGAAGCAAGACAGAGUAUGUGGAAUGCAAGUUUAAUGACGUGAGGCGGGAGAAUGAGGUAGUAUUGCAUCGGGGGUGCUGUGUGAUAAGAAGGUGCCGCCCAAGCUUAAAGGUAAAUUCUAUAGGGUGGUAGUCCGUCCGGCCUUGCUGUAUGGAGCGGAGUGUUGGCCAGUUAAGAACUCCCACAUCCAAAGAAUGAAGGUGGCAGAAAUGCGGAUGUUGCGCUGGAUGUGUGGACUGACUCGAGGGGAUAGAGUUCGGAAUGAGACUAUCCGGGAGAAGGUUGGUGUGACUUCAGUGGAGUGUAAGAUGCGGGAAGCACGAUUGAGAUGGUUCGGACACGUGAAGAGGAGGGGCAUGGAUGCCCCGGUCCGUAGGUGUGAGAGGCUAGCGUUGGAUGGUUUUAGGCGGGGUAGGGGUAGGCCGAAGAAGUACUGGGGGGAGGUGGUUAGGCGGGACAUGGAACCAUUACAGCUCACCGAGGACAUGACCCUAGAUAGGAAGGUCUGGAGGGCGCGAAUUUCGGCAGAGGAUUAGGGCUAGUUUGGGUCGCUAGUGUAAGGAAUUACUUGGUGGGGGUUUUAUUCCUGUUAUGUUUCCGUAUUCAGUGUUCCAUGUUUAUUACGAAUCUGUGUGCUUUCCUCUGCUUUCCUCUAUUUUAUAUUCCUUAUGGGUGUCGUAUUUAUGUUAUGUAAUCUGCUUCUGUGCGUUACUAUGUGUUUGUGUGGUAUCUCGUGCCUUGAGCCGGGGGUCUUUCGGAAACAGCCUUUCUACUUCAUCAGAGGUAGAGGUAUGGACUGCGUACAUCUUACCCCCCCAGACCCCACUAGGUGGGAAUACACUGGGUUUGUUGUUGUUGUUGUGGGAUCAAUUGAGUUACAUGAUUGCAGCACAACUGUUGAAGAUUCGGCAAGAAAAAUUGAACAAGAACAAGAGGACAUGGGAAAUAAUUCUCUUAAGGUCUACAUCCAUAACAGUCGCAGUAAGUUCUAAUUCUCUCUCAAAAGUUCUUCAAUUCUUCACAUUGUUAAUUAGGAUGAUGACUUCUACUUGUUAUCUUGCAUAUGUAGGGAAUUGAAGCUUAUUUUGAGGGACCAUCUACUGAUGUCUUCCAAAUGCAGAACCUUUUAGGUUGCUAAAUUCAUGUUUUAGGAACAAGCAUGUUUAAUACAUGUCUUGCCCAUUUGUUAUUAGUUAUAUCGUAAAUGGCAACUACCGAUGUACUGUAAAAGUACGAAAUGUGUAAGGUUUCAAUCUAUUAUGCAUUGUAUGUGGAGUAUAAGAAUCAAUGGUUUUGACACUUUGAAUCUGUUUUCUAUGUUCAUAUAUAUAAUACGUGUUUGUCAUUGAUGGGUGGUGCGUCAUGUGCUUUGAGAUGCUGGAUAUCGAUAAUCUUUCUCAAGGAUGGUAGUAACAAUAAGUAAUCAAGCUUUUGAUCAGAGGCGGAUCUAUAAUUUAAAGAUUGUGGGUUCCAAUUUAUGAUUUUUUCCCACUAGACCAAUAACACACUUUGUUUGUGGGUUCCCAACUUAUAAUUCUUAUAUUUUUACUAGUUUUUUCAAUAUAAAUUCAAGAACCGUACGAAAGUUACUGGAUUUCCGAGAAUACGCACUGAAUACUCUACAUCCGCCCCUGCUUUGCUUCUGAUAGGAAUGUCAGGGAGUACAAGUAAAGGGUAUGAUCUCCAUGGUGUCUUGGUGCAUGAUAAGUAAACGAUGAAUGAGAUUUUUCUACUUCUUGUGACCUGACUUCAUAUAAAGCUUCAAAAAAAAGAAUCAUCAUUUUCUCAUCAGCUCUUGUUUCGUUAAGUUUAAUGUGUAUUCAGAAACGAAACUCAUGAGAUAAAAUUGAGAUCUCAUAAGAUAAAACGAAAUUCCCAUAUGUGAAGCUACUGAAGAGAAAUAUUAUGCGUUUUCAACUAAGUUUGUUGUUUUUGUGAUGUAGUUUUCUUCUUAUUGUUGUGUUAUAAACCAGUACUGUAUCAUAAUAAAGAACUCAUUUUCACCUAACAUUGUGCCAUUCUCUGAGAAACAGAGGUGUCUACUCUUCGCUAAGCUACAAUAUACCAUCUGUUUCUACACAAAAGUUUACUUUUUCUUAAAGCAAAUUCUCUUACACAGGUAGGCGCGGAGGUACAAUCAUUGAAGGGUGGAGGAGCCAGAAUUCCUACCUGAAAACUACGUUACUCAAUUUGCGUUUCAAUCUCGUUUAUGGUUCCGAUUAGGUCAACGGCAGUGGACCUAAUAGGAAACACAAACAAGAAGGCAUGGGAUGAAAUUUAAAAUUCAAAAAUUGCCGCCUACGCUUAGAUUCCUUAUUUUGUUAUUAUGGACAAAAUAAAACUAAUAAGUUAAACUAUUUAUACAUUUAAAAGGCUUCAGUUUUUUUUAAACGUACUAAAAAGAUAGUAAAAUAUAAACUUAAAUGAAGCAAGUACUUCAAAAUGUAAGAUUUUCAUCCUAAUGGCAGAAUAGGCUUCCAACGACUUAUCAAUUUAGGCUUUGAUGAUGAUAAUAUUUUUUAUUAAUCCUUGUUCAAAAUCUAUUUUUAAAAAUUACAAAAGGAAAGAUGAAUCGAACUACAUAGCAAAUUCACUCACAAUAAUCCUGAAUUCAUCCUUCCACAGCAAAAUCUAAACACUCACAAGAAAACAAAAAGUACAUGUCAAGGGGACUCAUCUACUUAUAGUGAUGGAGAGGAUCUACAGAUCUACUUACAAAUACGACAGAUCAAAGAGUAAGUUGUCUUUUCUUAAAAUUUUGUAAAUUCAAAAUUCUAACUCCACCCUGUCAGCUCAUUUUUUGCUUGUUUGUGUUGAUGGAGGUGAUGGUGGUGGUGGCUUCAUAGGAGGGAGAUGCAUAUGAGAUUCCUUAUUAGACUCUGGUGGUGACAUUGUUAUUUUGCCUCUAAAACCAAACAGCUUAGCUCUCUAGCAACCUUGAAUUGAGAAAACAAUUCUUUGUAGGAAUUAUCAUAUUGUUGCAUGGACCUUGCUUCUAUUAAUUCCACACAAAUUGAUUCAUGGAUGAUACAGGAAUAAUCACGGAUAUGGACUUAUGGGAGUGCAUGUUGGGUCCGAGACUUGGUGUGUCCAAUUGAAGUGCAAAAGGGAACCUAAGUGCACUAUAAAUCAGCCAACAUAUUACACUUGAUGGGCACCUAAGUCUCUAAGGGGCCUUUUGGUCUUUUUGUAUUUUAUUUGUAACCUAGUAUAGAUAGAACAUUGUAGGGCUUUUAGACUUAGUUUAUUGAUGAUGUUGUAAGUCUUAAGACAUUGGAAAAACACAAGUCAUCUCUUCUCUUUGGAGGCAAAACCAAAACUAGGAUACAACAAUAGGGUGGAUUCUCUUUUAUUGUUGUUUGCUUGGAAACAUUGAUGCUUGGGAGGUGGAUUCUGAUCUUGUGUCUUUGUAAGAGAUAGGUUUAUUAUUGUGUGUAGUGUUAAGGGUCCAAGAUUUUCCAUUCUUGGGUUCUUAAGUUUAUACCUUCAUGUGGUCUAUCUAUCUAUCCUUUUACCUUCUUGUAAUCUUGUUUAUUGUUUGUGUUGUAAUCUUGUGUUCUUGUUGUUAUUGUUGGCUGAAAGUUGCUCUCAAAGGGGUCCUCGGGUUCUAGUUGAUUUGUGGACUGUUUUGAGUAGUUUUUGAGCCUUCCGAAGUUUUUAUUGUAUCAUUUGGUAUCAAAGCAUGGCUUGAUCUUGUUCCCAUAAGAUCAAUAUUGGGCUUGUUAGUGGAGAAAUAAAAAAAAAGUGUUCAAAACUGAAAAUUUCAAAAAAAAUAGCAAUCUGUCCGUCUUGUGUUCUUGGCCGAAAAGUGUGUUCUUGUUGUGUCUUGGCUGAGGUUUUUACUUGUAUUUGUUAUCUCUAAGUGUUAGUUUUGUUCCUCACUAACACAUUGAGUCUAUAUCUAGAUUUGAGCUUUAAAAAUUGAUGUUGUUGUUGUGAACAUAAGACUUGGCCGAAUUGUUAUUGAAACAUUCUUGUGGUGGACUGUUUUGGCCUUGUGAUCUUCAUCUUGUUGUUGUUCUAAGCUUGGCCUUAUGGUAUUUUUGCUCAUUGGUGGCCUAAGAAUCAUCUUGUUAAAGUUGUAGUUGUCUUGGCCAAGUGUUGAAGAUAUUGUAUUGUGAAAAUUGAAAGUUGGCCAUGUGAAAAUUGUUGGUGUUCUUGGAGAUUGUUGUUGGUUGUUCUUGGUGAUUGUUGAUGUUGUUCAUGGAGUUCUUCACAACCUUCAUAGCUUUUUAAAAUAAAGUGAACCUUAGAUCUAUAAAGGUGAAGGGAAAAAGGUAAAUCUUUGUUAGUCUUGAAAGACUUACCAUCACUCAUCAACUAGUGAAUCACAUCUCAACCACUUUCUACCAACUUUCCAUGAUUCAAGAAUCCGUGUUUUAAGGGUAGUACAAGUCUAGUCAAAGACUUUUGAGUCUUGAAUUUUGAAUUGAAAAGAAGCUCCAAAGACUAGUUUGUAUUUUCCUCCAUUGAACAAAUUCCACCAAAGGUCCCAAAUUGAAAAUUGACCAGGACUUGAACUUUUGAAAUUAACAACUUGAUAAAACCAAACCAAUACGUGGCUGCCACGUCAUAUUUUACUGUUUACACGAUAAAAUUUUAAGCUCAAAUUUUGAUCUUUUAGUUUCAUUGUGUUGUCUCUUUAGUUUCGUUUGUUGAUUCCAUUACUAACUUACGAGCUAGUACUAGAUUGUAAGUUAGUUUUGAAACCGUUCUUUGUGUUAACUUUCCUUUUAUGUGUCUUAAUCCUUUGAGUCAUUGUAACGUCCUUGUGUUUUUUUUUCCUUACUCUUUGGAGUUGUUUUCAACAUUGGAUUCACCUAUCAACACCUCUCAGAGUACAAGCAAUCUUUCAACACUUGUGAGAUUGAAUGUGAGGGAUCCGCGAGACCCGGAAUAAAAGAGAGAGUGAGGAUGUUUUGUAUAACUAACAUGUUUUAUAUUUUGUAGGUAACUUCUUUGCCACAAUGGAUACCAUUUUGGCCCACUUUGAUGCUAUUUCCCAAAAAAUACCUAAGGAGAAUGCGGGUCUUGACAAGUUGGGCUUGGAUAUGUCUACUAUACUUGAGAGGUUGGAUCGAGUAAAGAGUCAAAGGAAUUCUCGUGAUUCUACUUCCAAAGCUUUACCUCAAGCAAUCAAUCCUCCAAGACCACCACCAAAUGAUAUAGACAUAAGCCAAGCCACUAAAUGUCCUCCAAAUCGAGACCUACAUAGGCCGAUCCCUCCUCUAUUCGAUCAAGUCCAACAAAAAGGACUUGGAAGCCAAAUCUCUCCCAUCCAAGCUCCACAAUCGAAGCUCCACUUUACCAAAUCAAUCCUCUCAACCGAAACUCCACUUCACCAAAGCCGACAUGUCCAUGUAGAGGAGAAUGGUAGAAAGAAACAUGACGGAUAUGGAGUCUACGAUGAUGCUUGUAUGAUGGUAGGAGACUUAUUUCAGAUGAGAUUGAAGACAAAACUCAAGAUGGAGAGGAAGCCGAGAUUCAAAAUGAAGAUGUUGGCCGAGACUUGUGUUAAUAUUUUGCGGGCUAUUUUGAGUGGUUUAUUUUAAAGUGGCCAAUUAAACAAGGUAAAGCCGUGAAUUUGUGGGCAAAUUCCUCUCAAGAUAGAGAGGAUGAUACGGGAAUAAUCACAGAUAUGAACUUAUGGGAGUGCAUGUUGGGUCCGAGACUUGGUGUGUGCAAUUGAAGUGCAAAAGGGAACCUAAGUGCACUAAAAAUCAGCCAACUUAUUACACUUGAUGGGCACCUAAGUCUCUAAGGGGCCUUUUGGUCUUUUUGUAUUUUGUUUGUAACCUAGUAUAAAUAGAAUAUUGUAGGGAUUUUAGACUUAGCUUAUUGAUGAUGUUGUAAAUCUUAAGACAUUGGAAAAACACAAGUCCUCUCUUCUCUUUGGAGGUAAAACCGAAACUAGGAUACAAUAAUAGGGUGGAUUCUCUUUUGUUGUUGUUUGCUUGGAAACAUUGAUGCUUGGGAGGUGGAUUCCGAUCUUGUGUCUUUGUAAAAGAUUGGCUUAUUGUUGUGUAGUGUUAAGGGUCCAAGAUUUUCCAUUCUUGGGUUCUUAAGAUUAUAUCUUUAUGUGGUCUAUCUAUCUAUCCUUUUACCUUCUUGUAAUCUUGUUUAUUGUCUGUGUUGUAAUCUUGUGUUCUUGUUGUUAUUGUUAAAUUCGAAUCUUGUGUCUUAUUUUUUACUAUCUUGUGUUCAUCUUGUUGUUGUUGUUGUUGCUGUUUUGGUGUUAAAAUACACCUUGUAUCUUGUAAUCCUUGUGUUGUUAUUGUUGGCCGAAAGUUUCUCUCAAAGGGGUCCUCGGGUUCUAGUUGAUUUGUGGACUGUUUUGAGUAGUUUUUGAGCCUUCCAAAGUUUUUCUUGUAUCAUUUGGCCGAUUGAACGAGGUGAAGUCGUGAAUUUGUGGGCAAAUUUCUCUUAAGAUAGAGAGGAUGAUACGAGAAUAAUCACGGAUAUGGACUUAUGGGAGUGCAUGUUAGGUCCGAGACUUGGUGCGUGCAAUUGAAGUGCAGAAGGGAACCUAAGUGCACUAAAAAUCAUCCAACAUAUUACACUUGAUGGGCACCUAAGUCUCUAAGUGGCCUUUUGGUCUUUUUGUAUUUUAUUUGUAACCUAGUAUAAAUAGAACAUUGUAGGGCUUUUAGACUUAGUUUAUUGAUGAUGUUGUAAGUCUUAAGACAUUGGAAAAACACCAGUCCUCUCUUCUCUUUGGAGGCAAAACCGAAAUUAGGAUACAACAACAGGGUGGAUUCUUUUUUGUUGUUGUUUGCUUGGAAACAUUGAUGCUUGGGAGGUGGAUUCCGAUCUUGUGUCUUUGUUAGAGAUAGGUUUAUUGUUGUGUGUAGUGUUAAGGGUCCAAGAUUGUCCAUUCUUGGAUUCUUAAGAUUAUACCUUCAUGUGAUCUAUCUAUCUAUCCUUUUACCUUCUUGUAAUCUUGUUUAUUGUUUGUGUUGUAAUCUUGUGUUCUUGUUGUUAUUGUUAAAUCCGAAUCUUGUGUCUUCUUUUUUAUCAUCUUGUGUUCAUCUUGUUGUUGUUGUUGUUGCUGUUUUGGUGUUAAAAUACACCUUGUAUCUUGUAAUCCUUGUGUUGUUAUUGUUGUCCGAAAGUUGCUCUCAAAGGGGUCCUCGGGUUCUAGUUGAUUUGUGGACUGUUUUGAGUAGUUUUUGAGCCUUCCAAAGUUUUUCUUGUAUCAAUGGAUGAGCAAAGAUAUUAGCAAAAAUGAAAUUAUACCUAGUAUUGCACUCAUUCUUUCAAAUUCUCAAGUAGUAUUGAAUCCACAAUAUGCAUUUCAAUUUAUAUUAGUCUCUCUUACCUUUGUUCAUUUUCUAUGGAUUUUUAAUUCCAAAUUUUGAUAAACUAACACGGAAAUGGUGACUCGUGAGUCAAAAAGGGCCGGAAAAUCAACAUCAUAAUUACAUUCUUAAGCAACUAGUGAUGUAAAAUAAUCAGUAGAUUAUAUGUAGGUCAAAAUCCACUAAAUAAUUUAAUUGAUAAUAUUUGGUUAUUCUAGUUCCAAACCUGUUGAAUAUAAAUAUCUUCAUAAACGAGUAAUAAUAAAAUAUUGUUUUAGUCAGAUCCCGUGACUAGUUAAAAAGUUGACUCUUUGACUCUCAAGUCCUCAUUCUACUCUCUCGGUCUAUUAGUUGAUCAUCUUAUAAUAAUGUAUAUUUCAAAUUAUUUAUUUAUUAUAUAUAUAUGAGAGAUUGGAAAUAGAAUUUCGGGUUUCUUUAGGCAUUUGGAAUUUAUACAUAUCAAGUUUUAUUUAUUUUCAGCGAAUUUUUAAAGAUCGACAAAAGGCCACGUUAUUUAUUGUUCUUUUGUUUUUUGGUAAAAUGGUGACAUAAUUUAAAUUGAUAUUAGAGUAGAUAUGGUGACAUAAUUUAAAUUGAUAUUAGAGUAGAUAGAAGUUUAGAUGCAAAUCUAAAUCAAUCACCAUUCACCAUCAUCAUUAAGAAAAAUUUUCACCCACUAAUUUGGAGAAAAAAGUCAGAUUCACACGUAUUUGAGAACAUGUGUCGUGUUAAAGCGCUCAUGGUCCGAUUAGAGCAGGUUUAAUUUUUCUUUAAAAGAAACUCAAAUCAAUUAAGUUGAUUUUUUUAGAUCUUGGAAUUAAAUAGAUCAAUUAAGUCGAUUUUUCAUCACUUUAACUUUUAAUAAGACAUCUAUCACUUUAACUUUUAAUAAGACAUCUAGACGAUGAUUGAAUUAAACAAUUAAACUUGCAGUCCUCAUGGUGAAAAUUUCAAUAAUAUUGAACCAAAAAGAAGCGACAAUUAUAUAGAAGAAAACAGGGGCGGAACUAGGGAGGAAGCUGCAUACGAAAUAGGUAGAACAUAAUAGUUAGCUUUAGUCAAAACUCUGUAUUUGUGUAAAACAUCAAAUUAAUUUAUAAUGUGCAUAAAUAAUUUAUUCAAGAAUCCAAUAAGCUUACUCUUUUUAGAACUCAGAAUUCUGAACUCAUUGAUAACAUUUUAUAUAGAGAGAACAAUAUGUGUGCUUGUUUAUUAAGAAUUGUUUCAAUCACAUAUAUGUUAGGUUUCAAAACUACUACAGCCAUAUUAAUAGCAUGCAACUACUUCAAACAUCAAUGUUUGCUAAUAGAACUUGUAGUCUUUCUCAAUUCUUUCAAGAGGUAGGUCAUCAAUAGAUUUUUUUCUUUUUUGUUUCUUAUUUCAAGAUAUCAAGAUCGUUAUUAUGUUGUUGACAGUAAAAAACAAAGUGUUUUAAUACACCACUUAUUUUGAUUUCUUGCUCAAACACAUUUAAUCUUAGAAACAAACGAAAACAUAAUCAAAUUACAUAAUAAUUUUUCUCAAAAUAAAUAUUCAAAAAUCAUAUCUAAGCACUCAAAAACCCAAAGUAAAAUCGACCAAAAAUUAUGAAAAAUUAAAAUCAGAAAGUACAUGGUAGGAGUGGACACAUUGUAACUUUGCAACUAGCAAGAAAAAUCUAGAUUGAAAGUUCACAUGGAGAUGGAUUUCAUAUUUUCAUUAUUAUGUUGUUGACAGUAAAAACAAAAUGUUUUAAUAUACCUCUUAUUUGGAUUUCUUGCUCAAGCACAUUUGUUCUUAGAAACAAACGAAAACACAAUUAAAUUACAUAAUAAUUUUUCUCACAAUAAACAUUCAAAAAUCAUAUCUAAUAAGCACUCAAAAACCCGAAGUAAAAUAAUCUUUCAGAAAAAUUUAAAAAUUAAAAUCAGAAAAUAAUUAGUACAUGGUAGGAGUGGACAGUACACAUUGUAACUUAGCAACUAGCAAGAAAAAAUCUUGAUGGAAAGUUCAUAUAUAUAUAUAUAUAUAUAUAUAUAUAUUUACCUCUAUCUCCGAUUAUAUAAGUCGGGUUGAUGUCUUACUGCUUGUUAAAAUUUCACUAAGCAAAUAAUACUACUAAUACUUAACUAACAGAUUAUUGAAUCCAGUAAAUCCAUAGACUGUGGUAAAAUUUAAAACCCAAAAUCAUAAAUUUUAAAUUCUGAAUUUGUCUCUACCUCCUUUAAAAGAUUAGAAAACGAACUAGCUUCUCAAGCUCCAUUUAUGUACAAAAUUUACGUUUUGUGCACUGUCAGUAUACAAAAUUUUUUCUUUUUCAAUUUUAAUGUACAAAAUUGGGUAACCUGAAAUAAUAUUUCACAUUUACCUGAUAGUAUAAAAUAUUUUUGUACACUGACGAUGAACAAAACUUAAUUCUUUUAAUCAAAUCAGUACAUAUCUUGUCGUAGUGGCAUAGUGGGCUUGGUGCUCAUGGAUAGCCUGCUAGUGGUGGUGGUGGUGGCGAUUGUAGUAAUAUCGAUGAUGGUGGAGGUGGAGUCAACAACUCCGGCAGUGGUGGUGGUGGUGAUAGCAAUGGGGCUAGUGUUGAUGAUGGCGGAGGUGAUGGUGGGCUUGGGGGCCCGACGCUCCAACGAAGACCUAAAUUAUGUUGUGGAGGUGGUGGUGAUGGUGCUGCUCCAUCCUUAUUCCGGUCUAAACAUUUUAUCUCCUUGUAAGGAAUUUAAUGUAGUGACCUUAAUGAUGCUUGGCUGCAACAUUUGUCCACAAUGACUAAUUGAUGGAUGAGUAAGGAUAUAAAUAGACAUGAAAUUAUAGUUGCAUGCCUCAUUAUUUCAAUUUCUCAAGAAUGUGGAACUACAUAAAAGUGACAAUUAUAUAGAAGAAAACGGAGAUUAAUUGAUCCAAAAUUUGAAAUUUAGGAUUUGUGAAAUGUCGAUUAUAUGGACCUCACAAGUUCCGUUCCACAUGGGUCAAGAUUACCGAAAGCAGAAGUGUGAG